rnacentral:lncRNA from 1 species
ACUCAAUUAGAGAGAGAAACUGAUUAUAGGUUUUCUAGAGCUUACACUUAGCGAUGGCUGCUCUCCUCAGGACAUACCUUUGAAAGGUAGGAGAAUAUGUCUCAUGGUUGAGAAUACAGUUAACCCUCAAACAACAUGGGUUUGAACUGUGUGUGUCCACUUACAUAUGGGCUUUUUUUUUUUUUGGAUAAAUACAGUACUGUAAAUGUGUUUUAUGAUUUUCUUUAUUUUCUUUUCUCCGGUUUAGUCUAUUAUAAGAAUAUAGUACAUAAUACAUAUAUGUGUUAAUCAACUGUUUACGUUGAUUACAACGUUGAUUUACAACAGUAAGCUAUUAAGUUUUUUUGGGGGGGUCAACAAUUACAUGUGAAUUUUGGCUGUGGGGGGUGGGGGUGGUCAGCUGCCCUAACCCCCACACUGUUCAGGGGUCAACUGUACUUGAAUUUAGCGUUCAACUUCUUAGCAUUUGGAAUAAGAGAGUGGACUUACUGCUGAUAUACUAAUAAUACAAGUACUCAAACUCAUCUCCUCCUUUGAAGCCCUGUAUAAUUGCUCUUAUUGUUUGAAGUGUCCCUGUUAUAAAAGUACAAAUAGAUUCCCAUUCUGUGAACUCCCACGUGAGAGAUAAAAUGUAACAUAAAAUAUUUAUGGACAUUCCCCUCUCCCAUCACCUCUGACCCUUCUCAGCAUGUUGAUUGUGGUGAUGAAGGUCAGGGUAGACUGGGUGAAAGAAAGGAGAAAUGUUUGCUCUGUUAUUAUUACGAACAGUAAAGAGCUUCUCAGAGGAAACCAUAAUCUGACAGGCUAGCAAGAGAAUUUAGAAAGUAACGUCAGUAAACUCCCUGAGUUAGGGAAGAGAAUUUUGGAUGUUUUUGAGAGUAGAGGGGGAGAACUGAGGGUAGCUGAUUACACGAGAUUAGAAGAGAAAUGGAGUGGAAGAUUUUAAGAAGUUUACACGGUGUUCUGAACAUAAUUUCUCUUAGGUGCCUUUUUAAGUGACUUUAGUCAAUACUGACGGUCCUUUCUAAGACUUUUUGUGUGGUUGAUGUGGGUUCUCUUUUGGAUUUGAGGCAGAGAUGCCGCUUACUAGUUACAUUACACCUGUAAAAUGUUUUGCUACUUACUUUGUUGUUUCAUCCUGCCACUUGUCUGCAAUACUACCGACGCCAUGAGAUUGAAGGAAAAUGGCCUUUAGAACCGCACAGCUGCACUUGUUUGUUGGAAGGAGGCAGGUUCUUCUGAUACAUAGUAUUAGAAGGCAGGUUCUUUUCAUACAUGGUAAUGUGUUUAAUAUGGUCAGUGCCUUAAAUUCUCUGAACUAUUUCUGAAAAGUGAGUGUAUUACUAUGCAACUUGCAUGAGAGGAAUUCAGUGAAAUCAUUUGAAGUGCCUGGCAGGCAGUCAUAUUUGUAACAGUAGUGCGGAAAACCAGGACUCAAGGAAUGUGAUCAAAACAUGGCUUUAUUUUUGUCUUCAACUCUUAAUUAUUUCGUUAUUGGGGCAGUUACCCAGGCCACUGAGAAUUUUGGCACAGUGUAUCAUUUUCUGGACAUUCUUGGAAAUAAUAGAUAACCAAUCAUUUUGUGUAUCAAAAUCAGAUGAGUUAGAAAUGUCCAAUGAAUAAUGGGCAUGGUAAUCUACAAAUUAAUACUUUAGUCUUCAUUUAAAGAUACGGACCCUCUCCCCAGCCCACUCACUAAGUUGCGGCAGCCUAAGUAGGCCAGUCUAUGUUUUGGAGAAUGAAGUAUGAUUAGCCCUUCCUUCCUUCUUUAUUAUCUGUUCACCUGUUUUCUUAAGGUUAAGUUGACAACCUACCUCUAUUGAAUGCAGGGGGGAAAAUUGGGAAUAGACUGAGAAAAUUCUUGGUUGGUCAGUGAUAAGUUUGGCUUACAAGAUGGAUUCUGGCUGAUGGGUUCAGCUAAGCUUUCAUGGGUAUCUCCAUGGAUUCUUUGAUGGCUCUACUACUAAACUUCCCUAAGUGUGACUCUACAGACGCGGACAGUGUCUUUACUUCUGGUUAGUGUGGUCCUUAUCCGUACUUCAUGCAUAUCUCUGGCAGUCUGCUCCACAUAUAUUCCAUAGAUCUCCUUGCCCUCUGGCAGAACCCCUCUUUGAUGGGAUUCCUGUUUAAAUGGCUGAGCUUACCAGUGAGACUUCAUAUCAGAAGACUGAUAAUUCACACAGGGGAGUUCAGUGACUUCCCAAGCCCCCACCCUCUAUCGGCCUUGUAACUACGGGCCGUUCCAUCCAGCUCUCCCCUUUAUUCUUCAGGCAUAUGUCACUCUCCAAGUUCCUGCAUCCCCCCAGGAUGCAGGAAACAUCAUCCAACAACAUUUGGCUCUGUGGAAACACAGAGCCAAAUAGCCCUGCAAAUUUAAAUAGACCUGUAAAUUUAAAGUAAGAUGGUGAGAAGAGAAAGGAUGGGGGGGGGGUGUCAUAGUGUAACUUUUCCAAACAAAUAAUUUUCACAAAAAUUAUUCUUCCUAAUUUCUAUUCUUAUGAUCUCUUUUUUUCUUCCUUGUGGGUUUCAGAUCCAUACAGCUCCCAGAAUUACUUUGAAAUGUCUGCAGGUGGUAGGGUAUCCCAUCUUAGAAUUUCUCGUCUAUUUUAUUUCACUUCCUCGGUGAAAUGUCAAAGUUUACAUCCUGUUACACACUCAUAUAUCACCAUUUUCCUGUGUUACUGCCACCAGAUGAAACAUAAGUUUUGUGCAAAUUCUAGUGAUAAUAAUGUCUUCUGUAAGGCCCAUGAUAUACCUUAUAUGGCAAUACUCACAGAGUAGAUCUACAAGAAAGCAGUUUUGGCAAAAUUAAAUUCCUUAGAUUUGUCCUAAUUAACAUAUACAUAAAGAUGUGGUGUGUUUGAGUGUUCUAUAAGUAUUUGCUGCAUUAAAGAAAAUGAGUUAUCAUGAGCUCUGACUUUGCUACUGAUUGGCUGUGUUAUUUCAGGUGAAAAAUCACCUCAAGAGAUUGUUUCUUAUUUAUGAAAGGGAGAUUCUAUUGAUAUCACCUGUGAACACUUCCAACUUUCAAAGCCCCAUGAUUUUGUAAUUCCACACAUGGAUUUUUCUUGUUAUAAUAGAUUCACAUGUGUACCUUCUCUGAUCAAGUAGAUGGCAGGAGAAUGUGGGUAGGGACUGUAUUACUUGUGUGUGAGAGUUAACAAAAUUGAUUUUACACUCCAACUUCCAUAAAGAACCCAAGUGUUCUGGCUAAGAGAACAUCAAGGGCAAUGCCAAGGAUGCUACUGUUGGGUAGCCUUUCUAGUUGUUGGAGUUUGGGGUGAUGAGGAAUCGAUUGAAGGACAUGGUGUCUCUAUAGAAUGGUUUUUUUUUUUUAAGUCUGCUCUUUGGUUUCUCUUCUGGAGAUUAUAGCCUUUGUGAAAUUUGUUCCAAUAUAUAUACAGGUAGGAUCUACAGGGUUUGGUAAUUGACAUGUCCCACAUAGAAGCACCAGCCAUGAAAGCUCAAAUGAGAGGGAGAGAUCACUCUAUCUGUUGGGCCCAGGGAAACCUUCACAGGAGAGACAAACUUAGCAGAGUCUUAAGAAAUGAUUAAGCAUUCAUGACGCAAAAGGAGAAGGAAGGAAGGUCACCUGAGGGAGAAGAAGGAGGAAGUGUAAAUCAUCUCUUCUCUCCUGUGGGAUCUGCAAUAACUAAGAAAAAGAUGAGGAAUCAGAGAUCCAAAUAUCAGCAGUAUACUGUAACAGUAAAAUUGCACUUACCUUAGGAUGUAGUAAUUCUCCUCUGAUAUACAUACCGUAGAGAAACUCACAUAUGUGUACAUGAAGGCAUAUCACAGAAUAUUCACAGUAGUAUGCCUCUAAUAGUGAAAUAGAGCCAACAACCUGAAUAUCCAUCACCAUAAAGAUGCAGUAUAUUAAUCCAUGGGGAUGCUAUAAUCAGUUAAGAUGAAUGUACUAGCAAUAAUACAUCUAUCAACAUGAAUAAACCUUGACAACAUAAUAUUGAGUAAAAUAUGUUACUCAAGUGAAAAAAGGAACUUUUUAUGUGAAUAUGUUAAUAUGAUACUAUUCAUAUAUAAACAUAAAUAAGCAAAACAAAAUUUGAUAUUGUUAAGGAAUGCAUAAGUAUAUGAAAAUCUUCAGAAGACCAUGGGGGAGAGGAAGGGGGAAAAAAGUUACAGAGAGGGAAGGAGGCAAACCAUAAGAGACUCUUAAAUACUGAGAACAAACUGAAGGUUGAUGGGGGUGUGGGGGAGAGGGGAAAGUGGGGGAUAGGCAUUAAGGAGGGCACCCAUUGGGAUGAGCACUGGGUGUUGUAUGGAAAACAAUUUGACAAUAAAUUAUAUUUAAAAAUAAGUAAAUUAAAAAAUAAAGAAAAAAUAUUCAGGAGGAUGAUAAACACAAAGUUCAGUAGUGCUUCUCUCUGUGAUAGGAAGUGUGUGGGACAAGAAUGGGAACAAGAAGGAACAUACAGGGGUGCCUGGGUGACUCAGUUAAGUGUCCGACUUCAGCUCAGGUCAUGAUCUCACAGUCCGUGAGUUUGAGCCCCUCGUCGGGCUUUGUGCUGACAGCUCAGAGCCUGCAGCCUGCUUCAGGUUCUGUGUCUCCCUCUCUCUCUGCCCCUCCCCUGCUCAUGCUCUGUCUCUCUCUGUCUCAAAAAUAAAUAAAAACAUUAAAAAUUUUAAAGAAAAAGAAGGAGCAUACAGAGAAUUGUAAUUUUAUGGAUAGUGGUUUAGCUCUUAAGCCAAGUCAUUGGAGUAUUUUUUUCCUUCUAGUGUUCUCUAGCAUCAUUGGAUGUCUGAAAUAUAUGUCUCCUACAAGCACAGAAUCUUUUUGAAAUAAGGUUUAUUACUGGCAAACUAUACAGAGAUACAUGGCUUAAACCCAAUCCCACAAUGGGCUCCCAGUCUUUCACCUGAACUGACUUUGACCAGCGAGUACAGGGCAGAGAAUCCAUGGUCCAGUGACCUUGUCCUAGGGUAGCAGGAACAGAGAAAACAGACUGAACUCCUUGUUUCCUUGCACAGAGGUAUGAGUGAGGUGGAGAGAAGGUCACAAGCUUUUCCUCAGUAUUUCUAAGAGAGAAAAAAUUCCUAUUAUGUGGGUUUCUCAUUUUAAUAAAACCAGAAUCCUCUAUUUCUACUUAUGUCAUUUAAUUAAAGUUUUAUUAAUAUCAAAAUUCACCCACAUUAUCCAUAGCUACUCAACUUUUAUAAACUAUGCCUUUGGUUAAAGUAAUUAGACUUCUCAAGGGUUCCAUGAUACUUAUUUGGAAACAUAAAGGCAGCAAAUGCACUUCGAGUGACUGUCACGUGCAGCCCUUUGCCACCUCAGGAACUUAAGAGGUUCCCCUCUGCCUCCCUGAAGAAGCAUCCUCAAUUGCAAACAGACUGUGUGACAAUAGAAUCUGAUUAGACUGCCCCAGGUCUGUCUGGGUAACUAGUGUGCCACAGCUACUUGUGAAAGACUGGUGAAGAACCAAGAAAAACUGGCAAUAUUUUAAUUCUUUAAGGCAUUGCUUCCAUAUAAGGAUUUCAAUACACAACAUAUUUCCCCCAAAUUCUAAUACAUGGAGAUCGCCUGGAGAGGCUGUGUGUGAAAACAUGGCUGGCGUGGCUGGUGAGUAGAGUCUGGUGGGAAAGGGAGGUGUUUGGAGCUGGAAGUUGGUUCCCACACUGAGGUUCUGUUAGGUUCCAAUGUCAAGAGCACAGAGCCAGUUAACAAUUAGGGAUGAGCUGUUGGUUGCAACUAGAGGUGAAGUGCUGUAGUUGCCCGGGUGUGCUUGAACAGGUACCCAAGGAGCAGUCAGUAGGGUUGAAAUCGAGGAUCACGCCCAUUUUCCCCUCCUGCAAAAUUCUCCGAGGGAGAAACAAAUUCAAAUACAACAAGGUAAAUGAUAAAACAGUUGUCUGGAUUAUAAGUCACCAGUUUUAGUUCCAUUUGACUUGUGACAGGGUAAAUUCACACAUUUUUAUCAAGAUAGACAAAAACAAAAAAAUACCAUGCACUUUAUUGGGGGAAAAUGUACCAUGACUAAUCCAAGGCAAUCCUUAAGUCCUUUCCAAAUAUUUCAGUCUAGAAGCCACACUAAGAAAGCCAGCCAGUAAGAAUAGAAAAGGCAUGUCACAAAAUCUGGGAGUUAGACAAUGAGGGCUCUAAUCGGGGUCCCCAACCAAAAGCUCUUUGACUUUGGGGGAAAGUUGCUAAAUGUCUAUAAGCCUUACUUUAUAAUGCAAGUGAUCCUAAAGGUGUCAAAUGAAGUAAUACAUGUAUGUAUGAGGGAUAGAAUGGGUCGCCUCAAAAUGGGCCUCGUCUUUUCCCCAUAAGGGGUGCCCCUAGACUUCAAAGCUGACUUACGUUUCCCAGUCACCCAGCACUGUCUGAGAAUUCUAGUCCCGUCUUCCCAGAGAGGCCUUUCUCCUGGUGUUUCUGUAUUUCUGUUGCCAGUCUUGACAAGAAGCCAGGGGGAAAAUCAUUGCAGUAUUUCAGAAAUGCUCAUUCAUUUUUACUGUUCUUCUACUGGUGAGUGGACUUGGGUUAUUCCUCUGAACACAUCUGCCCUGAAUUUGCAUGUAUAAUGAAAAUGAGUUUUUUGUUAAAAUGUUUUUGUUAAGCUGGGUUCAAAUUUUUAUUUCAAAAUAUUUUGUUGUGGUCAGGAUACACACUUUCUAAAAGGAACUCCUUUGUGGAAAAAAAAUAUGGGUAACCCAAAGUGGGUGGCUGCUAAGGGAAAGAGCCCUAAACUAGCACCACCACUGUAUACAUAAUUCUGGCAAUUGACAGCUGUUGGGAGGAAAAGGUCAAUUAUCAUUUAAGCAAAAUAUUUAUUGAGGUGUGGAUACAUACCCAAAUCUUCAGUGCACAAACCAACAAUUCAUAUAUAUAUAUACAUAUAUAUAUAUGUAUAUAUAUAUAAUAUAUAAUUUAUAUAUAUGUGUGUGUGUUUGUGUGUGUGUAUAUAUAUAUAUAUAUAUAUAUAUAUAUAUAUAUAUAUAUAUAUAAUGUUUUUAAUACUUUAGAAGGACGCUUUGUGCCCCUUCCUAAGGUCAUACCUACUGUCUGCCCUUUACCUCCUAAAAAAUCAGGUAACCAAUAUUCCGACUUCUGGAACUACACUUUAGUUCCUGCUGUUCUUGAACUUCAUAUACUCCAUUAGACAGUGUGCUCUUUCGUGGUGUGCUUCUUUCACUCAUCCGUGGUGGUGUCUGUAAGAUUCAACUAUGACGUUGCUUGUAACAGAUGUUCUCUUUAUCUGUUGUAUGGUAUUCCACUUGGUGAAUAUUUUGCAACUGGUUUAUCCAUUCUACUGUAGGUAGACAUUUAGGUUCUAGUUUUUAGCUCGUAUGAAUAAAACCACUGUGAAAUUCUUAUCUUUGUCAUGUGGUAGACAAAUGUACUCAUGUAUCUGUGUCAAGGGAUAGAUAUGUAUUCGGCUUUAAAAGUAGAUAGUUUCAAAAGGUCUUCCGAAGUGGGGAUUUUCACGUAAGAGAAAGAAGUAGACUUUCUCCUCCGUGGGGAGAGAAGUGGGUAGGGAAGGAGAGGGAGGGUGGACAGUACCUCUACAGGAUACACAUGUAACAUGGGGGGCUGUGUUCUCAGAUUUUCUUGUUUUCUUCAGAGAUGAAAAAGGUGGGGUGCGGGGGUUGUUUUUAGGGAAAGGCAUCCAAGAGAGCAUAGGGACGCUCCCUGUCUUCCCUUUGCUGCGUCUCCUAAUUUGCUGCCCCUCGGUGAAGGUAUAGAUGACAGCACUUAUGAGGGCGAGUGACAAGCUGUCAGGUGAAAUCACGGUGCUAAAAUGAAAAUAACCCUGCUCUUUCAAUCCUGAAUCAACCCACAGAAAGAGUCAGUGUUACUUUUUCUUACGUAUACGGUGGGAGGGAAAGAGAAGGACAAGAUUAGUGACAUUACAGAGUAGUGGGUAAACCAUGUGUGUGCCAUCUUAAACAGGGUGUCUGGUUAUGAGUAUUUAACUACUUUAGAAGAAAAGCUGUUCCUUAAAGAUUCACCUUCCAAAACUCACAAAAGUGAUAACAUUACAAUUUACCGUCGUGAGUUUUUUGUUGUUGUUGUUGCCUUGUAAAAGGAAAAGCAGCUUCAGUUAGGCUCUCUCUCUAGGAGGCAGGUUAUCUAGGACCGCGAUGCUACAAAUCACUAUCUUGUUAAUUAUUCACAUAUGUUCUUGUUCAAGGCUUGAUGCGUUUGUGUCAUGAAUAUUUACAUACGGCAGUCCAUCUCAGUCAUUCCGAAUUGCUCUUAGGAUCAGCAAUAUGAGUACAUCGUCAGCUGCAAGCCAUAGAAGGCAUCUAUUAUAUGGGGGCUUUGGGGGCAUUUUUUAAUUAUUUGGUUCUAUGCCCAAGUUAAGUGGGGAUCUGGCAACAACCUGCCUUGUGAUCAAUGCAGGAAUAUGAGGCAGAUAAUUCAGGUCCCUACAGGAAAAGCUACAUAAAACAUUUUGUAAUGUGAACUCAGGCAUAUCACUCUUCCUCUCUGCCACUCGGCCUGUUCAUCUGGCAGGAGUGGAGGUUACCGGAGAUAAUCUCUAAAGGCAUCUGCUAGCUCUAAUGUUCGAUGACUUUAUAAUUGUCAUCUGGCAAUGUGAUUAUUUUACCAGUGAAUCUCAGGGACUCAAAUCAUCAAUAUUGAUCAAAGGAGGCUAAUCAGCUCAACUAAACCAAUACUGAAUGACCACUCUUGGGCUGACACUGUUCAAAAGAGUCAAUAAAUAGUUGGGUAAGUGGAUGAGUGCAUAGAUAGAUAGAUAGAUAGAUAGGUAGAUAGAUGCACAGAUAAAGAAGAUGCUUACUACAGGACCAGACAGACAAAAAUCUUGGAAAAAACAAUUAGUGUAUACAGCUGAGUGAAGUAGCUAUAAUGAGAAUAUGAAGUAAAAUCACGUGCCAGCAAAUGUCUGAGUAACUUUCCUAAAAGAUCAGAUGCCAUUUGAUUACAACAAUCAUUAUGCCAUUUGGUAUAAUGGGAAAGAGCAUUGGGCCAGAAGAUCUGAGAACGCAUCCUGACCCUGUCACCUACCAGGUUUGUGACACUGGGAAAAUUACAUAUUCUUUGAUUCUGACUCAGACUCUCAAGGACUUAUUUGAACUUUGUAGUUUGACUAUCAAGAACACUUUCUUAGUGUCAAUCUAAUAAUUAAUGAGACUGUGAAGAUACAAGUUACCUAUUCAAGUGUUUAUUGCUGUUAUUAUUAAUAAGCAGCAUGAUGUAAGAACACAGGGAAAUUAGGGCUUCAUAAGGACUGGAAGACAUCAGAGAAAGCUUGACAAAAGUCACAUUGGGCACAUUUUCAGUUCAUUCCAUGUUCUGGGGUGAAUCAGGCACGUAUUCAGGUCAACACAUACUGAGCAUUUAGCAUAUGCCAGAACCUUGCUACGUCUUAAGGAUGCGUGAAUACCAACCAAUAUGUGGUUCUUGACCUUCAGAAACUCACAAUCCUAUGGGAUUUCUAAACAUUUAAUGAAAAUAUUCUCUGUGCUAGGCACUGUUCAACAAUCAUUGUGGUAGAAAUGGAAGGCACCAUUUUUAUCUUGAAGAGAUUAUAUCCAAGCAGGAAAGGGAGACCUUGAAGCAAGCAAUUUGAACACAGUGUCAUAAGUGAAUGAUAAGGGCCUUGGGAGUUAUUGUACACAUAUGAGGGAUGCUUACUUCAUACUAAUGGGGCGGGAAGGGGGAAAUAUUUAGGUGCAGUGUGGACCAGUGCUCUCAAAAGCCAAAAUGCAUAAGAACCACCUUUGGAUCUUGUCAAAAUGCAAGUUCUGGUCCAAUAGGACCAGAGUGGGGCCUGGGAUUCUGCAUUUCUAGCAAGCUUCCUGCUGGUGCUGACGCUUCAGGUCAAUGUCCCUCACUUUGAGUAGUAUAGGUUAUAGCAGUAUUGAAUAUGUAAAAUACAAGUUAGUGGCAGGAGUUUAAAAAUAAAUUGUUUAACUACUGUGUAUAAUUUAACCUGGCUGAUCUCUGUUUCUUAGGGAAAAACCUACAUCAUCAACAAAACAAGAAAAUAACCUCUUUAUUUUUCUUUCAGUGAUUCUCAAAGGCUCUCAAGAGGCAUGCUCCCUGAGGAGGCGUAUCUAAAUCAUUAAAGGUUUUUAAAAAAUUAAACCAACCCUUUGGUGCUUCUUUUUUCUGAGAUUCACUACCACAGUGAGCCCCUUUCAAUAAUAGAUUGUUGGCAUCACGUGUCUUAUCUUAUAGACAUAUUAAAGCCACUUCUAGCCUCUAUAACCUUGUGCAGAUUUAGAGUAUCUGACAAUCUCCAUGAACUCUCUUUCCUCUAUUCCUUUGACUUUAGCAUCUCAUUAUGGAAAUAAUUUUAAAAAUUCCUCUUCCCUUCCUGCUCAAGGUGUAGGUGUGGGUGGAUGAGCUAGAUGUUGAAGGGGGUUGGUUGAAGAAUACACACCAAUCCUAAUUACAUUGAACCUAGCCAACAUCAUAGGUGGGCAAGAUUCCAGGCAGACCUGGAUACAGAUGCUGGACAUUCCACUCUUUCUAUGAUGUUAACAGAUUGCUUAAUUUCUCUGAGUCCUAAUGGUCUGUCUUUAAAAUGGAGUCAGUAGUACACAGCUUAGGAAUUGUUGUCAGAAUCAGUGAGAUGAUGGGUAAAGCAUCUGGCAUGCAAUACAUUCUCCUUCAGUAUUAGUAUUCUUUCCUUCCAUAUUGUAUUUAGAGCAAGAGAAAUUCAUAUUUAGUGUUCUCUUUCCACUACUUUUUUAGGAAGUCUUCAUCUUUACCAAAUAGAAGUUCUGGAAAAUAUCUGCCAACUCUACUCUCUUUUCCCACCAAAACUGUGUGUGUAAAGAUCAAGGUAAUAAGGAGGGUUAACUAGAUUACUUACAAUUCAAAUGUUGUCAGGGAAGGUCUCUGUGUUUCCUAGGAAUCAGAACUCCUGAUUGAGUUCCAUACUUUAUCUGUAAUGAUAUCUGUCCAUAAAAUUAGAUCAGUGUGUCCAUAGAAUAUAUCCAUGAUUGGGAGAUUCAAGAAGACCAAUAGAUAUUUAAAUUUUACAAAUUCUUCUCUAACCAUCAGAGUUGUGCUACAAUAAAACCACAGGCUAUCAUAGGAGUUAGUGGAUUUUCUAACACGGAAGGAUGAGUAGAUAAUGAGUACUGAUUAUUAAAUUCAUUAAUUCUUCAAACACCUAUUGAAUACUUUGUAGGCCAGACACUUAGUGUUAGGAGAAAAGAUUGGAAUUACACACACAGUCUCACAUAUGGCCAGAAUGGGAAAUGGAAAAGACUCACCAAGCAACAACUGGAAGCCAUCCAAACAGUAUUUGUUUUUAAUAUUUACUGAUGAUGGGAGAAACUUUCCAUACAUAAAACUUUUAUAACGUUUUAUGUUCAAACUGAGAGAUUUGUUACAUGUUCUAGAUGUGAAAUAUUCUUUUUUUUUUUUUUUAAUUUUUUUUUCAACGUUAUUUAUUUAUUUUUGGGACAGACAGAGACAGAGCAUGAACGGGGGAGGGGCAGAGAGAGAGGGAGACACAGAAUCGGAAACAGGGUCCAGGCUCCGAGCCAUCAGCCCAGAGCCCGAAGCGGGGCUCGAACUCACAGACCAUGAGAUCGUGACCUGGCUGAAGUCGGACGCUUAACCAACUGCGCCACCCAGGCGCUCCAAAAUAUUCUUGAUUAUAUGCAAUGAUUUUGGAAUUAUAAUUUUCUGAGCCAUAGAUCUUCUUAGUGGUCAUUGUAGACACUCUAAAAAGACAGGUUUUAUUUAUUAUUUAUUUAUUUAUCGAGAGUGAGUGUGUGAGCACAUAUGAGCACACACAAGUUGGGGAAGGGCACAGAGAGAGGGAGACAGAUAAUCUCAAGCAGGCUUCAUCACCAUCCUAGAACCUGACUUGGGGCUUGAUCUCACGACUGAGAUCAUGAUGGGAGGCAAAAUCAAGAGUUGGAUGCUUAACUAACUUACACAGGCACCCCAAGACACAGGUUUUAGUUAAUAGAACUAAAUUGUGUGUUAUUUGGUGUGGGGAUUAUAGCUAAUUUUGCUAACACUAGAUAAUACCCACUUGUCUGGUCUCUGGGUCAGUAGUGAGGUGGGAUUUACACACUGCCUUUAACAAAAACGUUCAACAGAGACUGAGGAUGCAAGCAGUGACUUUUGUAUUUGUUUUAAUUUUUUUCAUUUUAUUAGAGAGAGAGAGAGCAGAGGAAAGAGGCAGAGGGAGAGAGGGGGGGAUGGACAGGGGCAGAGGAAGGGAGAGAGAGAAUUCCAAGGGGCUUGAUCCUAUGACCCUGGGAUCAUGACCUGAGCCAAAAUCAAGAGUUGGGUGUUCAACUGAUUGAGCCACCCAGGCGCCCCUGGCAAGUAGUGUUUUAUACUUCCACUUGGGUGUAUCAUCUCCCUUUAAGGUAGGGGGGCCAGUUUUUGUUUUGCUUGUUAUGUAAGAAUUGGGUGAACAAAUAGAAUCCAGUGGGCACCAUAUUUCUGCUUUGCUCCAGCUUUGUUACAGUUCCUUAGAGACGACUGAUCCCAAGUAGCUGCCUGGCUGGCUGCCCCCUUCCCCAAAUUUGCCUCUUGUUCCCAAAUAGGCUAAUGACCAAAACAAGGCAGGGCAUGGAAACAAUUACAGCCUAUUGUGAUAAACGUUGUGUUGAUUAUUUCUGCUUGCCACCUAGCUGUAGUCAAGGAGAAACGAAGUGAGACCAAGGGGGAGGUCAAGUUGGUCACUGGGUUAGAUUUGAGGGGACUUCUGUCAAUAAAUGGCAAAUAUUGCAAACAUUUCAAGUAUUAAACAGGCUGUUGAUCUAUAUUAUUGUUGACUUUCUUUUCAACCAGAUUAUCUUUGAGUAUGAUUUUACAGACUGUGCCUGAAUAGCAGGAAAGCUACUGAUCAGAUUCUAAAAAGGAAGUCAUUUAUUGUUUUCUUCCAGAGAAUGUAUUGAUUUUUUUUUUAAAGGGGAGCCAUAUUUUUCCACUUGAAAUGUAAUGGCUAUUUUCUCCAGGGUGUUGUUAAAGUUGAGAAUAAGAUUCACUUAGAAUGUGUUGUCUAACAACAGCUGUAACUAGAUUACGUACAAAUGCUUCCCCUAUCCUCUAUUACCUAGUUGACUUGGCCUGUGAUGAGUACAUAGACCCAGUAUACCCAAAAUACCUAGAAAGGAGGAGAGCAUAGUCUUUGAAAUACGAUGUCUUUGUGCCAGCUCCCCUUUCAGAUCAGUCAGAAAACUUUUUCUGCGUGUUAGUAAUGUGUCUUGCAUUGGUACCGGCACCAUAGAAGAUUCUCUCAGACUCCAACUUACUCUACCUUCUCCAGUCCUUUCUCAGAACCUCCUCCUCCACAGGCACCUUAGCCAGAAAUCUAGGACACACCCUUCAGGAGCUUUCUUUCCCAGCUCCCUCUCUCUUACCUUCUGUGAUAAGGUACGUGUUGCUGAUUGGCGGACCCUAUCUGUCCACUUUUCUUGAUUAACACUGCCCUACUCUCAGGCCACCUUUGUCUCUUCCUUGGAUUGCUAAAAUGACUUUUGUUUUAAUUAUAAAAAAACUCAGGCUCAGUAGGUUAAGCGGCUGACUCUUGAUCUCGGCUCAGGUCAUGAUCUCAAGGUUAGUGAGUUUGAGCUCUGCUCCUGGCUCUGCACUGAUGGCCUGGAGCCUGCUUGGGAUUCUGUCUCUCCCUCUCGCUGCCCCUCCCCUUGCACAUGCGCACUCUCUCUGUCUCUCUCAAAAGAAAUAAACUUAAGAUAAAAUUCAAACAUACAUAAGAUUAUAGUGUAAUGUAAUUAAGAUCCAUGUACGUGAGUAACAAAUCUUAACCUUUUUAUACAUGCUUCAGACUUCAGUAAAACAAAAUAUAGAUUUAGUCAAAAUUCCAUUCAAUGUCUCUUCAUCUCCCCCCGCCCCCUUCUUCCUCCUCCUUCAGAAGCAAAAAGCCAUGUAGUUGUUGUUCAUUCUUCCAACUGAUGCUUUACAUCGUAGUUUUUAUACAUGCAUCUAUUUGUAAACAGUGUUUCAUAUUCCAUGUAUUAAAAAUAUACACAUAUAUUAUCAAUCUGUGUAACCAUUUUAUAAUAUACCAUUUGUGUUUUUCUCUAGGAUUUGUGCUGAUGCAUAUAGAGCUAAUGUUCUCAUUGUAAUAGCUAUUGUAGUCCAUUUAAAAAGCCACCAUAUGUAUGUUUCUCUAUCAAUAGACUUUUAGGGUUUUUUUUCCUUUUUUCUUUAUUUUUUGCUGGUACAGAUGAUGCUAUAGUGAAAAACUUUCUGUUCAUCCCUUUUGGUAGGUAUAUGAGAAUUUAUCUAGAUUGUGUCCCUGAAUGUGGAAUAUCUGAAUUAUCAACAUAUAUAUUUCCAGCUUGACCAAAUUGUUUUUAUCUUUUCUCUUAUUCUAUAUAUCUAUCUCUGUAUCUGUAUCUACUGAGAAAUUUAAAGAAUGGGCUCAUAACAUGGCAAAGCUGGCAGGCUGCAGAUUUAGGUGAGUUGACAUUCCAGUCUUGAGUUCAAAGGCUAGAAACUCAGGGGGAAACUCUUUGCUAUAGUCUGGAAAAUUCCUUUUUCCUUGGGAAAACUCAGCCUUUGCUCUUAAACCUUUAGUUGAUUGGAUGAUACCCACCCAAAUUAGGGAGGCUAAUCUGUUUUACUCCAGGUCUACUGAUUUAAACAUUAAUUACAUCUAGAAAAAUACCUUCACUGGCAACAUCUAGACUCCUGUUUAACCUGAUUAACCAAAUGACUGAGCACCAUAAUCUAGCCAAGUUAAGACAUAAAAUUAACCAUCACAAUAUUCUUUGCUGUUUGUUUUCUGUUUGUUUUUCCUUUCAUUAAAAAAAUAUACAACUAUUUAUUUUAAAAGAAAAUUGAGUUCCUUGUAGGAUGAGUUUACAACAGAAUUCUUUUUGUUAAAGCCAAGAACCAUGUUUGAAUUUGACUUUUCUAAGAAAAACAAUACUUGAAACUUUAUAAUCUCUUAUUUAUUAACAAACAAUUUAUCCUAAUUUAUUGAAAAAGUGAGCAUGUUUGUUCUUUUCUAAUGGGCUUAAGGCAUUCUUUAAAUAUUUUGGAUACCAAUCCUUUAUUUGUUUUAUAGAUUUCAAUUAAUGCCUCUCAGUGUUUGGCUUGUGUUAACAUUUGUUUUUGGUGAUUUCUCAUUCAAAAUUUAAAAAUUUUGAUAUAUCAAGUUUAUCAGUGUUUUCUAAGUUUUACGUUUUAUAUUUUGUUCAGAAAAUCCUUUCAUCUCUUAAUUUCAUAUAGGAAUUAUCCUAUGUUUUCUCAUAAACAUUUUUUAAAAAUAUACUUUUCACAUUUGGGACUUUAAUUCACUUCGAUUUUAUUUUUUGUAUAUGUGUGAAAUCAAGAUAAGAUAUAUAUAGUUUGGUUUUUACUCAUUCUAUGAGGCCAGCAUUACCUUGAUUCCAAAACCAGACAAAGACCCCACUAAAAAGAAGAAUUACAGACUAAUAUCCUUGAUGAACAUGGAUGCAAAAAUUCUCAACAAGAUACUAGCAAAUCGAAUCCAGCAUUACAUUAAAAAUCCUUCCUUUCUUAGAAUAGUUUUAGAAUUGCAGAAAUUGCUAAUGUAGUUACGGAGAGUUUCUGUAUAUCUUGUACCCAGUUUCCUCUGUUAACAUCUUGUUUAGUGUGGCACGUUUGUUAUGAUUAAAGAACCAACAUUGACACAUUAUUAUUUAACCCAAAUCCAUACUUAUUUAGUUUCCUUAGUUCUCACCUAAUGUCCUUUGUUUACAAGUUGUUAUAAAGCAGUUGUUUUUCAAGUAUUUUCUCCCAGUCGAUGGCUUGUCUUUUCCCAUUUUUCCUUCCUCACCUCUUUGUCUUUACACCGUGUUGUCCCUCUGUCUAGAAUGGGUCUUAGUUUGGGCUGCUAUAACAAUACCAUACAGCCAGUGGCUUAACCAACAAACGUUUAUUUCUCAUGGUUCUGAAGGCUGGAAGUCUCAUCAUCCGGAUGUCAGCAUGGUUGGGUUUUUGGUGGAGGGCCCUCUUCCUAGUUUACAAAGGGCCACUUUCUUGCUGUGUCCUCCCUGGUGGAAGGAGGGAGAGCGAGAGGGAGACAGGGAGAGAGGCAGGAAACAAGCUGUGAGUAGUCAAAGAGCUCUAAUUCCAUUAUGAGGACUCCUCCCUCUCAGAAGCCCCGCCCCUAAUGCCAUCACAUUGAGGGUUAGGAUUUCAACAUAUGAAUGUUGAGGGGACCCAAACAUGCAGUCUAUGACAAAUGGCUUUGCCUCACUGAUUUCUCACCUGACAGCACGGGAUUUGUAUGUAGAUAUUGCCUUUCCAUAAAGCCUUUCCAGGCCUCCCAAGAUCAUAAUAUAUGUUUCCCCUCCUUCCUGCUACUGUGAUUAUUCCUACUGAAGUACCUCUAUUAUCAUGUAUUUACUUCUCUUCUUCCGCACUUGAUCUUUAUUUAGGUCUUUGGAGGUGAGGACUGUACCUUGUUCUCCUUGUAGCUCUGGUGUUUAGUAUAGUGCUCAUCAGAUGUUGGUUAAAUGAGUUGUUAUGUGCACCGUCUUGCUCUGAGAAGACAAACAAUUCAUUUGGACCAAAGAACAACUGAACUUGAGCUUAUCUGAUACUGAUUACUUAGGCAAAGGCAUUUAGAAGAGGCUGAAAUGAAGUCUGAGGUUAGUGUCAGCAGGGAUAUGAGGAAGGUGAACUUGAAUGAGGGAUUUGGGCCAAUUUAUGUGAGCAAAAUAACCAGGAACCUGGCUUAGAACAGCAACUUGAAAAUAGAAAGGAAGUGAGAAAUCGAGCAGCGUUUUACAAUGAGAAACAGCUGGACGGGUGACAGAUUAGUUUCAGUGGAAAAGGGAAAAAAUAAAGGUAAUAAUGCGAGUAUUAUCUUGUGUUUGCCAAAACGCUCUCAAACCUAAACGCCUCACAUUUCUGCUGGGAACAUAAACUGCUACCAACUUUCUACAAAAUACUUGGGUAUUAUAUCUCAAAAGCCUUCACAUUCUAACACCAUUUGACUAUUUCUAUUUCUAGGAAUGUAUCCCAAGGAAAUAAUCAGAAAUGUGAAUAAAUAUUUAUGAGUAAAUAUGUGCAUUAUUUAUGAGAGCAAGAAACCGGAAACCACCUAGAAAUCCAGUGCUAUGAAAAUGAUUAUGUAAAUCAUGAUAUAUAUUCAUGUGAAGGAAUUAGAUGCAAUCACUAACAAUUAUAUUUAUAAUGCUUGUUAAUGAUAAUGAAAAUACUUACGAUAUAGCAUUAAGUAAGGGAGGUAGAUUGUAAAAUUAUAUUAUCUCAAUUUUGUAGAGAAAAAUGUUUAGUUCAAUGCUGAAAGAAAACAUAUCUAAAAUAUUAAUGAUGGUUGCUUCUGGGUAAAGCGAAGAGGUGAUUUUCUUCCUGCUUCACUGAAUGUGUCUGUAACUUCUCAAUUUUUUUCUUUUUUACCUUAAGUAUUAGUUUGAUAAUCCAGAGGGGAUUUUAAAAUCAUUUUUAAUCGUGUAUUUUGGAAGGAGAGGCAGUUUUACACUUGAAUCCAAAUGCCCCCUCCUCCAUAAAUCUUACGCCCUCUAAGUUAAAAAUAGUAACCCCCUCAUCUUGUACUUUUACUCAUUUAUUAGUUUGUCCAUUCAGCACUCUGCAUUUUAUCUACCUAUUUUAUUUAUUUAUUUAUUUAUUUAUUUAUUUAUUUAUUUAUUUAAAGUGUUUAUUUUAUUUAUUUAUUUCGAGUCCAUGCCGGGCUCAAACCCACAAACUGUGAGAUCAUGACCUGAGCUGAAAUCAAGAGUCAGAUGCUUAAUCAACUGAGACACCCAUGUGCCCCAGCACUCUGCAUUUUAUACUCAAUACAAGGCAACAUAACAUUCGGGCAUAUUCUCUGCUCUAAGAGAGUUCUCAGUUUAUGGCACAGGUAAGCAUAUAAUUAAGCAUGAAAAAAAAAAAAAAACGUAAACAAGCAUAACACCCAAUGGAUAUAUUUACAUAGUGGGCUUGGGACCGCAGAGAAAGGGGUGACUAAUUUUACUUUCCUGAGGAGAUAGCAUUUGAGUUGGCUUGUAAACCAUUUCAGUGGUAUUCACUAGUUGAAGAUCAAGCCACAGGAAGGGAGGGAUUUAUAGUCAAAGGUAACAGGAAGUGCAAAGUUACAGUGAGCUUCUGUGUCAAUGGAAGAUUAUGACUGGGAGAAAUUAGUCUGAUCAGAUUGAGGUGGGUGAUUUAUGGACCUGUUGCCAUAAAGAGGUGCUUGGGCUCUAAGUCGUGUGGUGUGUUAGGCAACCACUGAAGGUUGAGAUUCGUAAGGAAUUGACAUGACCACUUUCUUACUGUUUCUUGUCUGUUUCCUCCUCAGCAUUAUCCAUGGUCUGUCAUGCAACUUUUGACACCCUUGGUGCUCAAUAGAUGUUGGUAGCAGAAGCAGAUUCUGACUUGGGUGAUGGUGACGAUUGAGAGGAGCAGAGAUUUGUUGUAGAUAUUUGGGGAUUAGAAACUGAAAUGUAGAUGAUAAUUUAGGGCAGAGUUUCUCAACAUUUUUUCAUUAUUGGCCCCUAAGGAGUCUUUUGAGCACUUUUUUUUUUUUUUUUUUUUUUUUUUUUUUCAACGUUUAUUUAUUUUUGGGACAGAGAGAGACAGAGCAUGAACGGGGGAGGGGCAGAGAGAGAGGGAGAUACAGAAUCGGAAACAGGCUCCAGGCUCUGAGCCAUCAGCCCAGAGCCCGACGCGGGGCUCGAACUCACGGACUGCGAGAUCGUGACCUGGCUGAAGUCGGACGCUUAACCGACUGCGCCACCCAGGCGCCCCGAGCACUUUUUACUUAUAAUCAUCCCCACAGAAUUUUAAAACUGUAGAUAUUCUGUAUAUUUGUGUAUGAACUUUAUGCUUAUCUAUGCUUUAUACAUAAAAUGAUAAGUUUUUUUUUUUCCAUCUCUUUUCCUUAAGUCCAUGUUUUUGUCUUCUUGGUGGUGACAUCCUUUCCAUUGAGAGGAUAUGAGUUACAGCCUUUAAACAACACUUUUAACUAUAGUAAAAUACAUGUAACUUAACAUUUACCAUCUUAACCAUUUAAAAAAAAUUUUAAUGCUUAUUUAUUUUUAAGAGAGAGAGAGACAGUGUGAGUGGGAGGAGGGCAGAGAGAGAGAGGAUCCAAAGCAGUGGUUAAUACCAUUUUCUAUUUCCACAACAAUGAACAAAGAUCCCACAAUCUUGUCAACACUUGUUAUUUUCUGUUUUUUUGAUAGUAGCCAUCUUACUGAGUGUGAAAUGAUAUCUCAUCGUGGUUUUGAUUUGCAUUUUUUAAUUACUCUUUCAUAUACAUGUUGGCCAUUGCAUAUCUUCUUUGGAAAAAUGUCUAUUCAAGUCCUUUGCCAAUUUUUUAAUCAGGUUAUUGUGUUGUUGUUGAGUUGUAGGAAUUUUUUAUAUAUUCUAUAUUCUAUAUAUUCUAUAUUUUAUAUAUUCUAACCCCUUAUCAAAUAUAUAAUUUGCAAAUAUUUUUUCCCAUUCCUUGGGUUACUUUUUCACUUAGUUGAUUGUGUCCUUUGAUAAGGGUAGCCUUGUAAAAUUCAGUUGAUGUUGAGAUUUUUCGUGGCCUUAAGCGUUCUUUUCCUCUAUCUUCUUCCUCUGGUAACUAGGAGAUUGGAAUCUGGAUGGUGGUAUCCUGGGCUUGGGCAAAUAUUGAGAUCCAGCCUGAUGGCUAGGAUUUGGGCCAGGAUUGCAGGGCAAAGUCCUAGAUAUGGGAUCUAAUGGAUUUCUGUAUCAUUCAGGGAAAGGUGAAUAAUGUUGUGUCAUUCAACCCAAGUAGAGCAUGACAGGAAGGGUGAAUCACACCAUCAAAAAGAGGGAGUUCAAAACACAAAAAGAGAAAGUGGCAUCAGAAGAUUAAGAGCAGAAGCCUAAACUCAGAGCAGACAUUUGCCUCUAAAUAUUACUUUUUUCAUUUCAUCCAUUAAAUGUCAUGGGCUGUUAACUGUUAGUAUGAGGGUGUUUUCACCUCGUCUACGUAAUCAAGUUGUCAACUUAUGUAGCUCAUUGGUGUUUUCUAGAUGGAUAUCUAGGCAACUUACUUGCAGUUUCCUUUCCAUCUAGAGAUUUGGUCAGGACCAACUUUGGGAGGUGUGGCUCUGAUAGAUACAGCUCCAGUCAAGACCAGCCAGAAACUUAAUACCUUGCAGGAAGUGAGGAGGUCUUGACUUCACUCUCAAUUUAUAUAUCAACCCAUCACCUUGCAUAAAGAUUAAACUUCUUGCAAUAGGAGGGUGGAAACAUCUCUGUGAUUCCUUUGGGAGAGAGGUAAUGCAUUUAAAAAUCUCUCUGAUGCCAUGACCAUAAGAUUAAUGCUGUAAUCCAGUUUGUUAUCUGUCUGCUACGUCUCCUUGUGUCUAGCGUAAGUCAAUAGAACUUCACUUCUCUAAUUGAAAUCAGUGUGCUGAUGGAGUCUGUUCGUGGAAAUGAAAGGUGGCUGCCAUAAUCUGUUGGGAGCUGAAUUAAUCCUCUGGGAGUGAGGCCUAUCUAAUUACUCCACUCAGAAAUACUGGAUUUGCUUUCAGUUCUGCAGUAUACAGCCAUGGGAAAGAGGCCAACGCACCAUUUGGCUAAUUUUGUCUUAAAUUGCUUUAAGCUCCCCUAACCUGUCAUUGUGAGACCUUCGCAUUGGAAAGCGCUAUUUCUUCUGCUUUUCACCUUUUUAUUUGUAAGUAUUGCUAAAUUAAAUGAAAAGGCAAAUUUUUCGGUCACGUACUAAACUAUUUCUGCCCUGUAUUUAUCACUCUCUGAUAUAAAGUCAUGCCUUUGAUGCCCAGAAGUAACAUUGCUCACAGAUUAUUGGGAGAAACAUAAAGUUUAAAUCCUCUCAGAGAUGACCUAUUUUCACCCAAUUAUUGCACCAACAACUUGGUGAGUACAUAUCACGACUCAGGUAUUGUCCUAAGCAUUUUGUAAAUAUGUUUUCAUUUGAUACUCACAAAAAUCUUUUGAAGUGGAUGCUAUUGAUAUUUUCUCAAUGUGUAUACAUAUAUUAUAAAGAAGCCUUGAAAAUUUAAGGUUCUGCCCAAUGGCACACAGCAAAUAAGCUUCACAGCAAUAAUGGAAACCGAAGCAGUCCAACUCCAGAAUUUGGUUGGCACAUAAGAUACAGGACAUUCAGAUAGAUUUGGAUUUUAGAUAAGCAAUGGAAAAAAACAUGUAGUAUACAUAUAUCCCGAAUAUUUCAGGGGACAUGCAAAUACUAAAACAUUGUUUGUUGUUUAUCUGAAACUCAAUACAGAGUGUACCACGUGGUUUGUUGUGUUUCUUUUGUUUGGCUAAAGCUGGCAGCCCUAUUUAAGAUCCUAUGUCCCUAGUUAUCUGGAACAUUAGUGAGCUUGGGAAUGGUGGUGUGAAUGUUCGUAAUUCGACAAAUAUAGUAUUUACAUAUUCAUACCUAUAGAUACAUUUAUUGCUUUUUGAAGUCCUUUGAAGUGUGAAAUGUCUUGCUGAAAUAUUUUAGUGAUGCUGAUGACAUCACAACUGUCAUAGAGAAUCCGACACAGACUAUUGUUUAAUAAAGACUUUGGCUCCGUCGAUUGUUUUUUUUUUCUUUCUGUUCAUAUGCCUCACCUUCAGUGAUUAAGACAUCUGCAUUCUGAUCCCAGCUGGGCCAUUAGAAUUUUUGAGACCUCAGGCAAGCUUCUUCCUGCAUCUUAAUUCUAUCCUCCAUUAAGUACAAAGUGGAAUAAGGUGUUUCUCUCCUAAUGUUUCUUUUGUCCUUGAUAUUCUGUGGUUCCAGAACUUGAGAAAGAUACCUCAUGACAGAUUUUUGUACUUGGUAUUGUGGUGGCAUUCCAGGAUCUUGGUUUAAUUCAUGGGGGGGGGGGGGUGUCAAUUCUUUAAUUACACAGGAAGUCCUAAGUUGGCUGCUUACAAGUUUGUCCAUUUAGUCCUUCAUGCAGAUGUAAGAAUGGCAUCUGAUAAUUCUGUUGUCUCUCCUAUAGAAUUCAGCACAAUUCUAGGCAAUGCAAUGUGAAUACAUUCUUUCCAAUUAAUGGAUUGAUUGAUUUCUUAAUGGACCAUGGUGCCAGUCAGGUGCCUGUAUGCAGGUGCCUGUAUAGUCUGCCCCAAACCACUUUUUUUUCCUCCAUGCUCUUUAUUGUCACUCAACAUAUUGUUCCAGUCACGUAAAAUGGCUUUCUAUUACCUAAAUAUGUUGUGCAGUUUUUUUGCCCUUGUCCUGACACCGCUGAGCCUUAGUUUCCAUAUGAGACUGCAAUCUCCAUUUUAUAUGGUAGUUGCUAUAAAAAUCAAGAAAAUAUAGAAGCACCUGACAAGCUAGUUCACCUAAUUAAUUACUUUGUCUUCCUCCAUGUAAGGGGAAACCUAAUUCAGAGAGUGUUGUAACAUUGGAACAUUGGAAACCUAAUUCAGAGUGUGUUGUAACAUUGGACAGUUUCCCUCAAUGCUGUGUCAGCUUGUAGUCACAGACCCAGGAUGGCACUAACCACUUAAGAGGUGUUCAUUGUAAGUUGAAUAUGUGGUGGAGAAAGUAAUCAUCACUACACUUAGGAAACCUAUACUAUUUCAAGUUAUAUUACAAGGCUGUAGUGAUCAAGACAGUAUGGUAUUGACAUAAAAACAGACACCUAGAUCAAUAGAACAGAAUAGAAAACCCAGAAAUAGAUCUACAACUAUAUGGUCAACUCAUCUUCAACAGAGCGGGAAAGAUCCAAUGGAAAAAAGAUAGUGUCUUCAACGAAUUGUGUUGGGAAAACUGGACAAAAACAUACAGAAAAAUGCAACUGGACCACUUUCUUACACUGUACACAAAAACACAUUCAAAAUGGAUGAAAGACCUAAAUGUCAGACAGGAAAUCAUCAAAAUCCUAGAGGAGAAAACAGGAAGCAACCUCUUUGACCUCACCCACAGCAACUUCUUACUAGAUAAGUCUUCAGAGUCAAGGGAAACAAAAGCAAAAAUAAACCAUUGGGACUUCAUCAAGAUAAAAACUUCUUCACAGCAAAGGAAACAAUCAACAAAACUAAAAGAAAGCCUAUGGAAUGGGAGAAGAUAUUUGCAAAUGACAUACCUGAUAAAGGGUUAGUAUCCAAAAUCUAUAAAGAACGUAUCAAACUCAACACCCAAAAAACCAAAUCAUCCAGUGAAAAAAUGACCAGGAGACACGAAUAGAUAUUUUUCUAAAGAAGAUAGAUAUUUUUCUAAAGAAUAUAAAGAAGAUAUCCGGAUAAUAGACAUAUGGAAGGAUGUUCAACAUCACUCAUCAGGGAAAUACAAAUCAAAACUACAAUGAGAAACCACCUCACACCAGUCAGAAUUGCUAAAAUUAAUAAUAUAGGAAACAACAGAUGUUGGUGAGGAUGGGGAGAAAGGGAACCCACUUACAUUGUUGGUGGGAAUGCAAACUGGUGCAACCACUCUGGAAAACAGUAUGGAAGUUUCUCAAAAAAUUAAAAAUAGGACAACCCUACAAUCUAGCAAUCACACUAUGGGAUAUUUACCCAAAGAAUACAAAAACACUAAUCUGAAGAGAUACAUGCACCCCAAUGUUUAUAGCAGCACUGUUGACAAUAGCCGAACUAUGAAGAGAACCCAAAUGUCCAUCAAAUGAUGAGUGGAUAAAGAGGAGGUGGUGUGUAUACAUAUAUGUAUACACACACACACACACACACUGGAAUGUUGAUCAGCUUUAAAAAAGAAAUCUUGCCAUUUGCAAUGAUGUGGAGCUAGAGAGUAUUAUGGUGCAUGAAAUAAGUCAGAGAAAGACAAAUACCAUAUGAUUUCACUCAUGUGGAGUUUAAGAAACAAAACACAUGAAUAUAUGGGGGAAAAGAAGCAAACCAAGAAAUAGACUCUUAACUACUGAGAACAAAGUGAUGGUUACUGGAAGGGAGGUCAGUGGGGAGACGGGUUAAAUAGGUGGUGGGGAUUAAGGAGGGCACUUGUGAUGAACCCUGCGUGUUGUAUGUAAGUGAUGAAUCAUUAAGUCCUACACUUAGAACUAAUAUUUUAUGUUAACCAACUGGAAUAUAAAUAAACGCUUGGGAAAAAAAAGAAAAGAGGGAAAAAAACAUACAAUGAGUUGUUAGAUAUGGCCUUUUUCUUCACUUUGGCUUCUUUGGUGAACAAGGAUUGGAGACAUGGUUUUAAUGCUGCCUUUGGGAAAAUAGAAGUAAGACUUGUUAUACGAUUAUGCAGGCAGCAGGAUUUGUUUCAGUUUGAGGGCUGAGCUAGAAACAGUCAUCGGCAUCUCCGUGUCCAUGGUGCUGCUGAGGCCAACAGUCUUCAGGAACAUCUCUGGGUCAAAGUCAUGGCUGGCCUGCAGUUCCAGACUCUCUCUACUGCCCUGCCUAAUCUUGCCUCCGUGCUGAUGCUCUUAAUCCUCUCUUUAGCAACAAGAGAACUAUAAUUAUCUCAGGGUCUCUCUCUCUCACUAGACGGUGCUUCAAGAGGGCAAGACUUUUGUGUUAGUAAUCUUUGUACUCCUAGGCCUAGAAGGCAUAGUGAUUACAUUAUAGGUGAUCGAUUAGUGGUUUCUAAUUGAAUGAAAGAAUGGAGGGAAGGAAAGUGACUUAUUAGGUGAAGUCUCAUGGUGACAGUUUAAAGAAUAUAGGCAGGCAAAAAGAGUAGAAGGAAAUUAAGAAAGACACACUGUACUCAGCUCCACAAGAGAAAGCAGGAACCGUUGGUUCCAAAUUGCCAAUUUUCUGAACUCACAAAAGCCAGGAAGGCAAAGCAGAAUUAAGUGUUAGCCACGUACUUCCAUGGAGGAAUCUGGGAACCAGCUAGAGCAGCCUUGUCUAAUAGUCACCUAGUGAGAGCCAUAUGUGUAAUUUUGAAUUUUCUAGUAGCCACAUUAAAAUGAUAAAAAGAAACAGAUGAAAUUAAUUUUAAUUAUAUAUUUUGCUUAAUGCAAAUAUAUCCAAAUGUUUAUCAUUUCAACAUGCAAUCACUAUGAAAAAUAUUAAGGAGAUAUUUUAAUUCUUGGUUCCUCUAGUGAGUCUUCAAAAUCUGGCCCGUAUUUUACACUUAACAGCACAUCUCAAUUUGGACCAGCCACAUUUCAAAUGCACAGCAGCCAGAUGUGGCUAGUGGCUAUGCCAGUGAACAGCUCAGAGCUACAGCAUUUGGGUAUUUCUAAAAACAUGAAAUAAAAUAUUUUUUCUUUGUACUAAAUUAUCAUUUGCCUGGUAAUUUUCACUGCAUAGGCAGGAGAAAUCAAUCUUAAAUAGAGAGUUUAAUUGCAUCGAGCUGGUUUAUUUAUGCAAUCCAACGUCUUUACAGCCACUUCUGAAAUAUGUAUAAAUUUGUAAGCCCUUCCUAAAAAGUUCCUAGGAGCUUUAAGAAUGUUUAGACCUACCGUUUGACCUAAGAAAUCCUACUUCCCGCACUCAACCAUCAGGAAACAUUUAGAAACGCGGUCUGAGAUUUAGGCAUGAAAACUUUCAGUGUCUUUUUUUGUUACACAAUUUAAUAACUGGAAGUCAUCAAAGUCCAAUGUUAUUGGAGCAUGAGUUAUGGUACCUGUUUGUAAUGAAAUAUUGUGUUGUCACUAAAAUUUAUGCUCAGGGAAAUUUUUGAUGGUGUGGGAAACUGUGAUAUAAAAUUAAGCGAAAAGCAUAGGAAACAGAUUUGUAUUUUCAGUAUUGAGCAACUUAUAUGAAAGGUACAGCGAAAGCCUGGAAGGAAAUACGGUAAAGUGGUAACAGUACCUCAGAACCGUGGAAUAGUAAGUGACUGCUUUUUUCCUUCUAUUUUGAUGCAUUUUGUAAUUUUUCUCACAAAGCGUGUACACCAGGCCCCUAAGCAGGCAAACAAACAUGGAAAAUACUUUGCCUAGUUCAUGUUCCCACCACUACCAUAGCUCUAGUGGGAAACCCUUGCCCUCACCUUCCCUUCCCUCCACAUACACAGAGUCUCCCUCUUGGGAAAGAAUGGAGAGAGCAAUGGCAUGAGACAGCCAAACCCCAAGGCAGCUAGAGGAUGGGACAGCUGACUGGCAGAGAAGACCAGGAGACCAGCCAUCUUGUUUUGGAUUUCUGAUGCUGACUGUGACAAUCCCAUCAUCCCCUUGGGUCCCCAUUCCUUAUCUGUAAAAGGCAAGGAAGAUCAUUAGGAUGAGUUCCCUACAGCUUCUUCAGACUCUCUCUGAUGAACCCUCUGGCCAAAAACUUAAGUUUAGCCUUUUUUUUUUUUUUUUUUUUGCCCCUGCCCACAACACAUCUUUUCAGUUCCAGUUUUUCUGAUUUUAAGUGUUUCUUUUACAAAUGGCUUCCAGCUAUAUGAUUGACCUCUCCUCCCCCCCCCCCCCCCCCCCCCCCACCCCCAUGCCUAAAUCUUCCUACUACGAAAUCCCCAGAGUGUCCCCAAAUGCCAGACCCUUGGUUCAGGUAGCCUCUCUUGUUUAACAUACAUUUUAAAGACCACUUGUCUCCUAGGGCAGUAGCAGGAAAGAGAAUCUUAGAUCCAUUUUAGAAACUGUGUCAAAUGAUGAGAUUACUUUGACACAUGAACAGCCCUCUUUUGAAGAUAGUAGGUUUGAAAGCAGAAAAUCUCUCCUGGUAUCUCCUCUCCAUGAGUCACCAUUUGGUACCAGUGUGGAAGGUAACAAUGUUGAUGAAUAGUGGCCUGUAGAUACCCUGGCAAUCUUUACAACACGACCCCCCACCUAAAGGCUUUACAAAAGUACUAUCUGUAAAAAUAACUCCAGAAUGGAACCUUGUCUGAUUCUGCAUCGUGCAUCAUUCCAAAAUGCCUCUGUGGAGAGACAGGUUUUACCUUUACCUUAUAGGCUUAAUGUCUAGAUCUUCUCUCUGAAAAUUAAAUUCGAACCCAAUGAUUUGAGCAACUAGUUCCCAAGAUCCUUAGAGCCUUAUUGUAGCUCUGUUACUUAAUCUGGUACUGAGUAUGUCCUAUGUCUAUUGCCCAGAUCAGUUCUUAGCUUACUGAAUGAUGGAACUGGUCUCUCCUAAAACUUGUGGGCUGUAAGGUUGUCACAUAUCUACGCCACUACAGUAUUGUCAUCUUCCUGAGGUUUUGCUCACUGUAUUUGUUUUAUUAUUCAUUUGUUCACAUUCGUUCCUUCACCAAAUAUUUUGGAGGUAUGGGGCCAGGCACAGCUUCUAGACACCUGCCAAUCAGCAGCCAACUACAGAGGAACCUUUGGGCUUAGAACAUUUAGAUUUAAAGUCGAGUUCUGCCUCUUACCAGUUGCAUGAACUUGAGCCAACUCCCUUCUCCAUAAAAUGGGGAUAACACUAUCUGUGUUACAGGGCUAUUACGAGUGUCCGAUGACAUAACUUGUGUAAAUCACUAACAGUUCCAACGAUGAACUUAACCUUGUUAUUUUUUAAAGUAGCUAUAGUUAAGGUAUGUAGAGACCAAUUUUCACAAAGAUUACAUCUCGUAAUGCUUGCACCUCCAUGGUAAGAAGAUGUAUUAUUUCUAGUUUUUGCACCUGAAGAAUUGCCUGAAUGAUCUGGGGGCAGAAAUUUUGGAGCAUGGGAACCAGCAGAACAUUGAUGUCAUGAAAUAUACUCUCGAUUCAGUGGUAUGUGUAGCUCUCCAUGAGGUGUGCAUGGGAUAAUGUGCGCAGAGGCCUUUUGUAAAGUGAAAUUUCAGAAGCAGUAGUGCUCUGAAUAUGGCCUGGCAUGGGAGGAAGCUAACAUGGGAGCUUCUUUGUGCUGUAGCCUUCAUCGUCACUGCCACAAUCCUUGACCACACAUGAGGAAACUUUAAGCUCUGAUGUUUAUUUGUACGAGAUUCCCCAGCUCCCAAGUGCCAGAGCUGGGCUUUAAAUUCAGGUUUGUGUGGCUGAGAAACUCAUUGUUUCUUUCUUUCUUUCUUUCUUUCUUUCUUUCUUUCUUUCUUUCUUUCUUUCUUUCUUUCUUUCUCGAUCCUAAAGGUUUUAUUUAUUUAUUUAUUAAAUAUAAUUAUCGUCAAAUUGGUUUCCAUACAACACCCAAGGCUCAUCCCAGCAGGUGCCCUCCUGAAUGCCCAUCACCCAUUUGCCCCUCUCCCUCUCCCAUCAACCCUCAGUUUGUUCUCAGUAUUUAAGAAUCUUUUAUGGUUUGCUUCCCUCUCUCUCUGUAAUUUUUUCGCCCCUUCCGCUCCCCCAUGGUCUUCUAAGUUUCUCAAGAUCCACCUAUGAGUGAAAACCAAAAGAAACUCAUAGUUUCAUGCUAGAGCAGAAAAUCUGAAAUUGCCAGUCAUGGAUAUUAUAAUAAAUGCAGGUAGCAUCCACCAAGCACUUACUAUCUGCCAGGAACUUUGUAACUCUGUUUCCAUGGUAACUCUUUGACUCCUCCUCCAACUCCACGAGCUGUGUAAGAUUCUGUCUCUCAUGUUACAGAUGAGGACACCGAGGUGAAAAACAUUAGUGUACUACUUGCCCUACCUCACCGAACUAAGAAUUGAUGGUGAUUGGAUUCAACCGGGCAGCCUGGCUUGGGGAUCCCCCAACUUAACCUUAAUAGAAUAUUCUUGGAAGUAAAACCUCAAAUAGGGGGUUAGAACUUACGACCUUCAUAACCCAGAAGUAGGUCCUAAUUUACAGAAUUUAUAAUUUGAAAUGUAAUGGUUUUGGUUUUGGUUUUACAUUUUUUCAUAUUUAGUCAGGAGUGAGAAUAGGAAAGUGUGCAUUUCCAGGACAAUAGGUAAAACACAACAACUGUGAGACGAUGGCUUUGAUUUGAGUACUCAUGUUCUAAUCAGCCUUUGUCUUCAUCUGAUGGUUACAUUUUCUGAGGAAAAAAAUUGUGAUGGUUUCUGGCUGCUUCCUGCAUGGCUGUGCAUUUAGAAGAUCUAAAAUAUAUCUAUUUAUCUCCAUCUGAUGGUGGUCUUGGUCAGGGAGCUGUGGGCAAUUCAUCUUGUUGAUAUCUGUUCCUAAUUUCACCUGUUCAGGUCACUACCUCACUUCUUAAAAUUCCCCUUGUGUUUUUUCUUUCAUUUUGAUGUAUCGUACUUGGUGAAAGGCAGUUUGAGAGAGAGAGAGAGAGGAGAACCAUAGAUUUGUGAAUUUUUGGAUGGGUGUGUGUGUAAGGUUGUCAUGUUCGAUUGUAUAAGUUGAGUACUGCACAACUGUAGAAGACACAAUUUGCAUUGUCUAUGAUGUAAAUGAUAGUCCUUGCAGCUGAACAAUGUAUGUUCAAGUACCUGUAUGAAUAUUGGUGUGUGUGUGAGUGCGUGUGGUUAAAGUGCAUUCAUGUCUGAACAUAUCUGUGUAUGAAUAUAUGGCUAAUGUGCCUAAAAGUUCACAAUUGUGCAUGCAUGAAUUUGUGUGUGUGUCUGUCUGAGCAUGAGUUUUGAUGGUAGAAUGGGAGAUAUGGGGCAGGAGAGACUGAAUAUCUUUUUUUAAUGUUUCCUUAUUUUUGAGAAAGAGAGCGUGCAAACGGGGAGGGGCAGAGGUAAGGGGACAGAGGACCUGAAGCAGCCUCAAUGCUGGUAGCAGAGAGCCCAAUGUGGGGCUCAAACUCACGAACUAUGAGAUCAUGACCUGAGCCAAAGUUGGACACUUAACCAGCCGAGACACCCAGGUGCCCCAAGACUGAAUAUCUUAAUUUCCAUAAGACAUAUGAGAUCACAGUCACAUAUUUCUUUUUCAAAAGUGAAGAAACAUUUUUUUAAAUUUUAUUAUUUUUUUAAUAUAACUUAUUGUCAAAUUGGUUUCCAUACAACACCCAGUGCUCAUCCCAACAAGUGCCCUCCUCCCUGCCCAUCACCCACAAGAGACAGGUUUUUUUUUUUUUUAAUUUUUUUAAUGUUUAUUUAUUUUGAGAGAGAGAACAUGAGCAGGGGAGGGGCAGAGAGAGGGAGACACAGAAUCUGACGCAGGCUCCAGGCUCUCAGCUGUCAGCGCAGAGCCCCAGGUGGGGCUUGAACUCAUGAACUGUGAGAUCAUGAUCUGAGCCCAAGUCAGACGCUCAACCGACUAAGCCACACAGGUGUCCCCAAAGUGAAGAAACAUUUAAGCAUGAUGUAGAAUAGGCAGCAUUGACAAAGUGCCGCAUCAGAGUCCUUGGUAAUUAUCCAAAGUUCCUCCAAGUUUGUCUUUUUUUUUUUUUUGUCAAGGAAUGCCCCUCCUUUUAACCUAAAUAGCAUUUUUUAAUGUUCUCCAGUUUGGAAAAAUAUGUAAUAGGAGCUGAAGUUCUGACCUUUACUUUUAGCUUCUUGAACUUUUUCUUAGUCAUACCUGUCUUUCUCACCUGUAAAAUUAUAUAUAUAUACACACACAUAUAUAUAUAUAUACAUACACACAUAUAUAUAUAUGUGUGUAUGUAUAUAUAUCCAAACACAUGUGUAUGUGCAAGUGUGUGUGUGUAUGUAUGUAUGUGUGUGUGUAUAUAUAUAUAUAUAUGUAUAUAUAUAUAUAUAUAUAUUCUCAUAUAUGAGAGAAUGCUGUAAAAUGAAAUAAUGAAAUUUGAUGGAAAGAUAUUCUUAUGACCAGUGAAACAGAUAUAUAAUAGUACAUUUCUGCUUCUCUUCUGUAUUAAUGUAUUAUUCAUUCUUCAGCAAACAUUGUGCAGUAGAUGUUGGGAUACCUGUACUCUCCUCAAAGUACUUACAAACUACAGGGGGAGACACACAUGCAUAAACAGAUGUUUAAAAAAAUGGAUGGCAAGGCCAACUUAUGACUUGAAUACACUCCCAUUCUAAUUAGGAGAAGAGGCUAAUAAAGCAUGGAAAUUUCAACAGGUUAAGCACUGCUCAUGGCACGUUUGUGGGGAACAACCAAUUCCAUUUGGGUUUGAGGGUCCAGAAUUCUUUAUGGAAAAGAUAGCUUUCUGUUUUAUUGUAUUUUGUUUCUUUGAGGUAUAAUUUAGGGCUCAUGAGGUUUACCCACUGUAAGUGUAUAAUUCAGUAUUUUGUAAAUUUCUCAACCAGUACAACCAUGAGUACAAUCCAGUUUUAGAAUAUUUCCACUCCCCCCAAAAGUUCCUGGGUCCCCUGUAGGCAAUCUUUAGUCCAGAUCCAAAUCAUACACAUAUCUUCUUUCUGUCUCUACAGAUUUGGACUUUAUGGGCAUUUCAUAUCAAUGGAAUUAUACAACACACUCUUUUUUGCAUAUAUCUAGCUUCCUCCACUUAGCACAAUAUUUCCAAGCUACAUCCACGUUGUAGAAUACAUCAGUAGUUUGCUACUUUUUAUUGCUAAAUACUAUUCCAUGGUCUGAUUAUACCACAUUUUGUUUAUUCUUUCACCCGUUGGUGAACGUUCAGGUUGCUUUCAUUUUGAGGCUGUUACAGAUAAUACUGCCAAGAGCAUUGGUAUACAAGUCUUUGGAAGGACAGGGGCUUUUACUUCUUUGGGUACAUACCUGAGAUCUUGUAGGUGGAGUACAAUGGCUGGAACAUUUGGUAACUUUUUUUAAAAGCUUAUUUCUUUAUUUAGGGAGGGAGAGGGAAAGAGAGGGAGAGAGAGAGAAUCCCAAGUGCAGAGCCCAACGUGGGGCUCGAACUCACAAAUGGGAGAUCAUGACCUGAGCAGAAAUCAAGAGCCGGAUGCUUAACCAAUUUAGCCAUCCAACAUUUGGUAACUUUUUAACAGCUUUAUGGAGCUUUUGUUUACAUACCUAAAAGAUACUCUUUUAAAGUUCACAUUUAAGUGCAUUUAAAAUUUAACUUUUUAAAAAACUGCAAAAUUGUUUUCCAAAGAGGCUGUCUAGUUUCACAUUCACAGCAAUGAAUAAGGGUUUCAGUGUCUUCUCUUCUUGUCAACGUUUGGCAUUGUAGGCCUUUUGACUAUUGUCAUUCUAAUGGAUAUGCAGAAGUAUUUCUAUUGCAGUUUGCUUUUAAUUUGCAUUUCCUGUUCACUAAUGAUCUUUAGUGUCUUUCCAUGUGCUCACUGUCCAUUUGUUGAACAUCUUUAGUAUGGGUAUCUAAUAUGUAUUCAUUUAAUGUACUCUUUUUAAAGUUGUAAUGUUUGUCUAUUUUUGAGUUGUAAGAGUUUUGUAUAUAUUAUGGAGAGAUGUAGUCUGCCAGAUUUAUUAUUUGCAAAUAUAUAUGUAUAACAGUGACAUUAAAAAAACUUGGUUGGCAUUAUCUAGUAAAGUUGAAUAUAUACAUAUAUCUUACAUGAUCUAACAGUUUUACCCCUUGUCAUAUACACAACAGAAGUGUGUGUGCAUAUGGACCAAAAGAAAGAGAAAAGUGUGUUUGUAGCUAAACAGUUUGUGUUAGAUCCCAAUGGGGGCCAUGCAAAUGCCCAUCAUCAGUAGGUCAAGGUGAAUGCAUUUUGAUAUGUUCAUAAAAUUGAACUGAACAGCGAUGGAAUGUAAGCAUCAGAGCUGAAGGCAAUAAAUGGAUAAAUCUUACAAAAGAAUGCUUAAUACAAACGGCUAUCUACAGAAGAUAUAAAUGGUAUAAUUCAAUUUAUGUAAGUUUCAAAGUCUGUCAAAACUGAUUCAUGGUGUUAGAAGUCAUAUAAUUGUUAUACUAGAGAGGGAAGAGUGAGUAGUGAUUUAGAGUGGGUGAGAGGAGCUUCUGAAUUGCCGGCAGUAGUCUAUUUUUUUUUUUUUUUUACCCACAUGAUGGUUACAUAUAUGUGUCAAUUUGUGAAAAUUCACUGUAUUUCAUGUUUAUGAUUUGCGGACUUUUAAAGUACAGGUUCUACUUCAAUGAAAAGAUUUUAGGGAAAAAAAAAAAGGAACAUGGGCUCUGGUACUAAAUUGGAUAUAAAUCCUGGCUCUACUGCUCUCUUGCUGUAGAACCUGGGCUUCGUUACCUUAACCACUUUGUGUUCCAGUUCCCUUAUUUGUAACAGGAUAAUAAUAAUAACACCUAUUUCCUAAGUUGUUGUGAGGAUCGUAUGACUCAACUAACACAUUUAGAAGAGUGCUCGUAUGUAGCGUGUGUGCAAUAAAUAUUGGCUAUUGUUAUCACUAUGCUCUGGAUGUCCCCCACUUUAAAAAAUAUUUGCUCCUUCAUAUCCCACCCCUAGAACCCAGUUUUUCUCUUGGAUUUCAUCCCAGUACUUCACUCGCCUGACUCUACAUACCCUCCUGGACAGGUUUCCCGCCGCCAUUUACUGUGUGUUCCUCAGUCCUUAUCAGACAUCUCCAAACACCCCAUGACAUAAUAACCCUAAAUUAUCCAGCUGAACUCAGUCUUUUCCCUUGAAACCAGCUUUUUCCUUUCCUGUUCUCAUUCUUCUGUUCUCCUUCUUCUUUUCUCUUCACCAUCGAUUGCCUGUUCCACACAACAGCAAUGACACUGAAAUCAGAGAGAUCUGGGGUCAAAUCCUGGUUUUGUUUAUGCUAGCCGUGAGACCUUGGGGGCCAUUAACCCCUAUGCACUUUUGCUGCUUCUUAUUUAAUAGAAGGAAGAUGACAUACCCUAUUUAGGUUUGGUUGAGGGCACAAAAUGUUAUCAUGCUUGAUACUGACUUAUGAUCUGGGACAUGGUAGGCAUUCACUAAAUGUCAACUAUUAAUUUUUUUUUAUUGUGCUAUUGGUUUGGUUAUUUCUUUUCAGAGAAUUAAAUCACAUUUAUUUCUUUGAAUUUGUCCUUCUUCUUUAUUCCUACUAUUGCUACUAGGUCCCAGUUUAGAUCCUCAUUAUCUUUUGAAUUACUACAAAGGUCUCCUUACUUUUCCAAACUUGAACACUCAAUUUCAUUAUCGAUGCUACCUCAAUAGCAUGCCACCACCCACAGGCUUAAGCCCCUCAAUGACAUUUUCCUCUUGUUUCUUGGAUUAGGUCCAAGUGUCUUAAAGCGAAUUGCCUAUAAUAGCAAAGGACAGAAUUACCUUUCUCGAGGAAGAUGUACCAUAUUGCCUUGAUGUAGGGGGUUUGGACCAUAUGACCUCAUUAGCUCUCUUUUAGAUUUGGGAGACUUGGUGUGGAGAAGCAUUUCCUUCUUUGCAAAGGAGGUCAGGGAAAGGGCAAUGCAGUGUUUUCCACUAAUGAAAUAGCAGCUACAGUGGGAGAUCAAAUCCCUCCAGGAACUUGACUCUUAUUUUUAGCUCAGCUCAAAGGGCUGUAGCCUAUUUUAGCCAGCUCUGGGACUUCCCACAGCAAUCUGAGAGAUGGAUGUCCUGGCUGCAAGUGAAAGAAAGCUGUGAAUUUUAGAGUGGAGAGACGAUACUCAUGGUUAGCCCAUGGGAGGUGUGUUUUGACUAAGAAGAAUGUGACUUUUAUUGGAGCCAUUGGCCGCAAGAGCUUCUAUGAUACACUAAAUAAAAGCUUGUAUUUGAUAGCCAAAGACCUGAGUUCCAAUUCUGCCCCUGCCAGUGAAUAGCUGUUUAACACUGAGGACAACCAUUAAUCUCUUUGAGCCUCAGUUUCCUCAUUUGUGAAAUAGGAAUAAUGACUCCUAUCACCAAGUGUUAUUGAGAAUUAAAUGAGAUAAGCGUGUAAGGUGCCUGUCACAUAACAGGUACUCAGGCUAUGAGCGGUACUUUCCUCCUGAUGGUUGGUGGCUUCUCGGGUGGCUACGUGGAUUUUCACUGGCUGCAAAAUUACCUUGGGCACACUGUUUCAUGAGAGGGACAUGAAAUCAAAGCUGGGCCAUCCUCUAGAGGAGGGAAAUUAAAAGUAUCCUAGGAUAGCACUUCAAGGCCAUGAGUCUAUUUCUUUGGCAUCCAUUCCUGAUCUAAUUAAGCCUUCACAAUUUGUUUCAGUCCUUGUAAAAGGGUCUCUGCCUCUCCACAUCUGGGUCCUGUUCUUCAUCUGAAAGGCUACAGACAGCAUAUUGGAAAGAACAGAGUGUCAAACGGCCUCAGAUACAGAAUUCUGAACACUGAAUCCUGUUCAUCAUUAAGUCUAAAUUUCUGUUUUGGGACAGAUUUUCUGCUUCUGGACUUCAUUUGGGUUGAAUCUCGCUCAUUAACCCAAAUUGUUUAUUUGUAUUUCAUUCAAUAAGUUCUUCUGUCCUACAGUAAUCUGUAAUAGUUGUUUAUAACAUCUUUUUAGAGACAAAAUGAAUAGAAAAUUAAAAAAUAUAAAAUUUGAAACCGGAUACCUGGUUUUGAAUAUCAAAAGUAUUUUAAUUUUGAAUACCUAAAGUUCUGAAAGUACUGUUUGGUAAAAAGAAAAACAAAUCACACAAUAAACUGGGAGAACCAUUCAAACCUGUUUGGCAGAGAAAUAACAUGUGUGAAGAUCUCUCAGUUGGUUAUCUUCCUUGAAUUAAUUUCGAACAGCAUAGUAGAUAAGAGACAUGAACCAGUAAUUAUAAAAAGAACAUAAAAUUAUAAUGAGUCUCAGAAAACUGAGAAGCCUCACUAAUAGUCAAAUUCAAGUUAACACAUCUAGAACACACAUCAAUGAAUUUUAUUCUGGGUGCCACACAGACAUAGGGUUAUAAGAUGUAACUGGGGCCAUUGGGUGGAGAAGAAUGAACAAUUUGACCACAUAAUCUCUCAUAUCACCUGAGAUCUCUUUCUUUUUAUAAUGUAGUAUCUUUUGUUUGGUCACAGACAAAUGAUAGUAGCAAUUUCUUGCCAGAAAUAUAUAUAGGUCAAAAAAGAUAUGGAGAAUUUAAUUGUUCCUUCUUUUCUCCCAUGUUACCUGGCACACAGUAGAUGUCUGAAUACAGAUCCAAUUAAUAACAACGUCAUCUAAAUCUCAGGUGAGUGAGGUAUUAACUCUUCUCAUGAAAUGGACCAGCAUGAAAUAGAAUGGGCCCAGUGACAGAAAUGGUUAGAUAAACAGAGAAAAGAACAAGUAUUUAUUUAGGGUAUGCUAUUGUGCAGGGACCUUGCUAAGAAUCUUACACAUGUUACCAUAUGUAAUGUUCACAACAAUACUGAGAGGUAGGCAUAGUUAUCCUUAUUUUUAAAAUGGUGGGGGCACCUAGGUGGCUCAGUCAGUUGAGUAUCCAACUUCAGUUUGUGAGAUUGAGCCCUACAUUGGGCUUGCUGUUGUCAGCGUGUCAGCUCAGAGCCCAGAGGGAUCCUCCUCUCCUCUCUCUCUGCCCCUCCCCCUCUCAUGCUCUACCUCUCCAAAAAAAAAAAAAUAUAUAUAUAUAUAUAUAUAUACACACAUAUAUAUAUGUAUAUAUAACAAAAAAUGUUUCUAAAAAUGAGCAAAGUGAGGUCAGAGAGGUUCAACAACUUGCUCAAAGGUUUCGAGUAAGAAGGAGAAGCACAGCGAUUACUCAUACUGGAUAUGAGAUGUCCACCAACCUACUAGCAGAGACAUGAGCAGAGUAGAAACCCAAGUUUUCCAUUCAGUUUUAGAUUAUUCUUCAAGCUCUCUGUCCUUCAAUUUUUAAAGAGAAAUCUUGAUAUUGUUUUAAGAAAAAAAUUAUGUUUAAAUGUGUACUUUUUGAUUAUACCUAAUGAUUUUUAAAGACACCUGGCAAAGAGUCAUCAGCUCUGAGAGGUAGCAGAAACUAUCAUCUCCUGUCUCAUAUAUAUAUAUUUCUGCAAGCACAGAAUAUUUGCUGAGCAAAAAAUGUUCUCAUUUGAAAGUGAGAUCUGAAGAGGUUUCCUUUGUAAGAGUGACAAAGAUCCGAUGUGAUACAUAAUACACAUUUGAAAAAAUUUGAAUUUUUAACAUUUUAAACCUUCAUCUUAACAUCUUGAAAGACAUGGUUCACAGAUUUCUCCAUCUAUCACAGUGUACAUUAGGUUAUACUGUCCAUAUUGAGCUGUAAUCAUAUUGAACUGUGUUCUAAUAGAGAAUUUUAUGUUGGAGAAGAUUCUUCAUUACUAUGAGAAAAAGGAAUUUGCAAGACUCUCAGUGAAUAGUAUAGUCACUGGAACCUUAAUGGCAAAGAGAAGGAUGGAGUUGAGGAAUGCCAAAAUCCUUAAUGCAGAAAGAUAUGAGUCAGACCCUUAUACAUAUAUAGUAGAUUUUUUUCCUUGGGCUCUGCUCAGCCAGUAAACUACACCUCUUUUUCUGACAAUUGCCAUGUUCAACAGGUGUAGGCCUUGGCCACCACAAUUUUACUGUGUGACCCUAUUCCCUGAAUACUACCCUUCCAUAUGACUUACAGAACCAAGAAUGGGCAUGUGAUCCCCAAAGGGUCAAUCAUAUUCUCCCAAUUCACGAUUCAAAAUUGGGACUCAAGAGAUGUUAGUCAUAUUCUGCUUGUCAUAUAUGAAAGACAUGUGAACUUCAAAGGUAUAAGAUGGCCAUCUUUUGCCACACCCAGAACACCAGAUAAAACUAGUUUGUAGAAACAAAAGAGUAAAGAUGUGUAAACAAAACAUGGGAUGAGGCAUGGUGUUGUUGGGGAGGAAAGUUUAUCUCUACCCUUUCAGAUUCUUCUGGCUAGUCUAAGAAUCAAAUUGACAUGACAUAGAUUAAUGGGAGAAAAUGAAACUUAAUGUGUAUAUAAGGAACCCACAUAAACGUGAGAUUCCAAAGACAGACAAUAUGAGGUAUAUGUGUCAUCUUGAACUAAGGGGAAGAGGGUAGGAGUCUUGAACUUCAAAGGGAAGGACAGCAAUUCACAGGAAGAUGAAAAAUCGUAAAUGGUAAAUAAAUGUUUGCUGGGCCACUCAGAAAUUAUGGGCAUAGAGAGGAAUUUUUACAGACUUUGCUACAUUUCUCCCUGUCCAUCACCCUGAGAUCGUAUUAUACUGUAGUUAUCCAUAGUGAUAGCUCUGUACCUGGAGCAGGUCCUCUGUCUAAAUUUUUUUUUAAUGUAAUUAGCGGGAAGGUCAAAAUUUCUUCCUGAGACUUUUGAAGGGCAGCUCAAAACAAUCUGCAUGCCAAAGUAGCACAUCUUGGGGCAACUCAUUCUGAACUCCUAUAAUACCAUAGAGGGAGGGCCUAAGGCAGUUUGGGAUUUGAGUUUUUUGACAGGUUUCUUGUUUCCAGAUUUUAAUCUCUCCAGAGUGUAUUUCCUUUCUUGGAUUCUGUGGAGUAUCCUACUCUCCUUUUGAUAAAUCCCACCUUGCCUUAUUUUUCCUGCUUAAGUUCAUUAGUGCAGUUUUUUUUUUUUUUUUUACUUGCAACCAAAAAGAGCCUUGAUUAAAACCCCAAACCCCAGGCUGUCACCCACACAGACUGGUGGAGACCGUUGUUCCUGGGAUGGCCAUGUGUUAUAUAUAUAGUUCUAGAAAGUGGAUUAACCAGGAAGUUCAGUCUCCAACUUCGAGGCAGCAAAAUUGAGUGCUAUGAGCCCUGGGCAUAGCUGAGGCUAAGAUCCAGAAUGAGCAAAUAAAGCUGGAGUCCAAAGGGAAGGAUGCCAGAGAAUUUCCGAAGUGGCUUAUUUCCCAGAGUUACUGUAAGUCAGUGAGACAAUACAAAAAGAAAAAAAGUUUUUUUAUUGUAAAGGGCAAGAUAGUUUAGUGGUUUAGGGCAUAGAUGCUACAAUCAGACUCUGAGUUUAAAUCUUGACUCUGCUGCUUUCUGGCUGAGUGACCUUUGUCACAGUGCCUUUGAUCCGUAUGUUGGAAAUGAUGAAGGUGGUUCCUGCUUCAUAUGAUUACUUUGUUGAUUAAAUGAGUUAGUAUAUGUAAAGUGCUUAGAUUACUGGGUAGUGCUGUUAAUUCUAUGCAAGUGUUUGUUACCAGUGUUCAUGGAACUCUGUUGUUGGCCUUCAUUCUCACACAGACAUUGUGAUACUGGUUUUAUAAAUAACCGUGGCAUUCUUCACUAUGAUCUGCAGGUGUACCAUACAGGACAUAAAUUUCCCGUGGGCUAAGGUUUUAUGUUAUUAAAAAAAUAAAUCACCGGGGCGCCUGGGUGGCUCAGUCGGUUAAGCAUCCGACUUUGGCUCAGGUCAUGAUCUUACAGUUUGUGAGUUUGAGCCCCGCAUUGGGCUCUGUGCUCUCAGUUCAGACCCUUGAGCUUGCUUCAGAUUCCGUGCCUCCCUCUCUCUCUACUUGUCUCCCACUCACGCUUUGUCUCUCUCUGUCACUCAAAAAGUGAAUAAACAUUUAAAAAAUUUAAAAAAUAAAUCAAUAGCACUUAUUAAUCUCUUAUUUUAUGGCAAGCACUGCACAUGCACUGUGUAGUUUAGAUAGCAUUAACCAGUCUAUGCUGCAUGUAUUUUUAUCUCCAUAUUCCAGAUAAGGGUGCUGAGAAGGAGAAAGGUUGAAUAGCUAUAAUCCAAAGCCGUAGUGAUCAAGACAGUAUGGUAUUGGCACAAAGACAGACACAUAGAUCAAUGGAACAGAAUAGAAAACCCCAAAAAUGGACCCACAACUAUAUGGUCGACUCAUCUUCGACAAAGCAGGAAGGAAUAUCCAAUGGAAAAAAGACAGUCUCUUUAACAAAUGGGAAGACUGGUCAGCAACACGCAGAAGAAAUGAAACGGGACCACUUUCUUACACCAUACACAAAAAUAAAUUCAAAAUGGAUGAAAGACCUAAAUGUGAGACAGGAAACCGUUAAAAUCCUAGAGGAAAACACAGGCAGCCACCUCUUUGACCCCGGCCACAGUGACUUCUUAUAAGACACGUCUCUGGAGGCAAGGGAAACAAAAGUAAAAAUAAACUAUUUGGACUUGAUCAGAUAAAAACUUCUGCACAAUGAAGGAAACAACCAACAAAACUAAAAGGCAUAUAUAUAUAUAUACAUACAUACACACACACACAUACACAUAUAUAUAUAUAUACACACAUACACAUAUAUAUGUAUAUAUAUACAUAUAUAUACACACACACAUAUAUUUAUGUGCAUAUAUACAUACAUAGGAGAAAAUAUUUGCAAAAGACAUACCCAAUAAAGGGUUAGUAUCCAAAAUCUAUAGAGAACUUAUCAAACUCCACACCCAAAAAACAAAUAAUCAACUGAAGAAAUGGGCAGAAGACAUGAAUAGACAUUUUUCCAAAGAAGACAUCCAGAUGGCUAACAGACACAUGAAAUGAUGCUCAAUAUCACUUACCAUCAGGUAAAUACAAAUCAAAACCACAAUAUGAUACCACCUCAUACUUGUCAGAAUGGCUAAAAUUAACAACAUAGGAAACAACAGAUGUUGGAGAGGAUGGGGAGAAAGGGGAACUCUCUUAUGUUGUUGGUGGGAAUGCAAACUGGUAUAGCCACUGUUGGAAAACCUUAUGGAGGUUCCUCAAAAAGUUAAAAGAUAGAACUACCCUAUAAUCCAGCAAUUGCACUACUAGGUAUUUAGCCAAAGGUUACAAAAAUACAGAUUCAAAGGGGUACAUGUACCCCAAUGUUAGCAGCAUUUUCAACAACAGCCAAAGUAUGGAGAGAACCCAAAUGUCCCUUGACUAAUGAAUGGAUAAAGACUGAUGAAUAGAGAGAUAGAUAGAGAUAUCUAUCUAUCUAUCCAUCUAUCCAUCUAUCUAAUGGAAUAUUACUCAGCCAUAAAAAAGAAUGAAAUCUUGCCAUUUGCAAUACAUGUAUGGAGCUAAAGUGUAUCAUGCUAAGCAAAAUAAGUUAGAGAAAGGCAAAUAUAUGAUUUCACUCAUAUAUGGAAUUUAAGAAAUAAAACAGAUGAACAUAUGGGGGGGGAGAAGUAAAAAGAAAAAAGAGAGAAGGAAACAAACCAUAAAAGACUCUUAGCAAUAGAGUACAAAGUAAAGGUUGAUGGAUGGAGGUGGGUGGGGGAUGGGCAAGAUGGGUGAUGGGUAUUGUUUUUGACAAUUUAUUGAUUAAAAAUGAAGAAAACAUGCAGCAAAACACAGUCAAAAAAGGGAGGGGGAAGGUUGAAUGUUUUACAUCGUCUAUAAUAUUUUACAUCGUGUAGCAUAUGUAAUAAGGAGGACCCUCCAUUUAUUGAUACGCCAUUAUUGUAUCCUCAGAUUAUUAAAUAGUAUCAGCUGGCUCUAGGAUUUUGGUUCAAAAUUUAAGCCAAAAAACAAAACCCAAACAAAUCCAUUAGUCAUUUGGAAUAACCCAAUAUAUUUCACAAAUAGCAUUAGCGCAUGUUACCUUGUGCUGAAUUAGUCCCUACCCGCAAGGGCCAGGGGAUCCUGGGACCCAGAGACAGAGGGCACUUGUUAUGUUGAGCACUGGGUGUUGUAUGUAAGUGAAGAAUCACUGAAUUCUCCUGAAACCAAUAUUACACUGCAUGUUAACUAACUAGAACUUAAAUAAAAAUUUGAUAAGGAACAAAAAAAAAAAAAAAGAAAGCAUAUACUGGAAAAGAAACUUUUUGUUUUUUAAUGAAAAUGUAACUUCUGAUCAGUUUUCCAUUUGGUAUGAACUGGCUCUCAGCAAACAAAAGCAACCUGGCUCUGUGGCAUUUGUUGAACUUUGUCCUGUGAAUACUCCCAUUCUGGCUGAUUUCGGGGAUGGUUGUAGUUCACAACUGGCUAGCAGCUUUUCUGGCUAGCAAAAUUCCCAGUACAAGCUGGCUCUCAGUACAUCUCUGACCCUCCUAAGCCAUGCCUAGGCAGAAAUUCUGAAGCUAAUACCACCAAAGAUGAAUGCCAAAUGAUGAAAUCGUCAAAGAGGAGAAUUUCUCUCCUCUAAGACAUGCAGACAAUUAUGAGAUACAGUCCCAGAGCUGACUUACCUGAGGCCAGUAAGAUCUGUUUCUACUUAUUUUUUUUGCCAGCUUUAUUGAAGUAUAAUUGACAAAUAAGAUCGUAAUAUAUUUAAAGUAUACAGCAUGAUGAUUUGAUAUAUGUAUACAUCGUGAAAGGAUUUUCUCCAUUGAGUUAAUUAACAUAUCCAUAACUUCACAUAUUUUUCAUCUCCCCCUGCCCCUGGUUUGUGUGUGUGUGUGUGUGUGUGUGUGUGUGUGUGUGUGUGAGAGAGAGAGAGAGAGAGAGAGUGCGUGAGAGAGGGAGAUAAAGAGAGCGCUUAAGUUCUAUUCUUUUAGCAAAUUUCAGUUAUAUAGUACAUUAUUAGUAUCAACUAUAGUCACCAUGUUAUACAUCAGGUCCUCAGACCUUAUUCAUCUUAUAACUGAAAGUUGUAGCUUUUUACCAACCUCUCCCCAUUCCCCUCCCUCCCCAGUCUGGCUUAUUGCACUUGGCAUAAUGCCCUCCAGGCUCAUCCAUGUUGCUGCAAAUGACAUAAUUUCCUUUUUGAUUAAGCCUUAAUAAUAUUCCAUUAUAUAUACAUUUUCUCUAUAGAUAUUUAUAUAUAAUAUAUAUUUAGUAUUUAUUGAUUUAAUUAUUUAUUUAAAAUGUUUCUUUAAAAUGAGAGAGAGAGCGUGAGCAUGAGUAGGGGAAGGGCAGAGAAAGAGGAGAGAAAGAACCCCAAGUAGGCUCUGUGCUGUCAGCAUAGAACCCGAUCCUGGGCUCGAACUCACAAACUGUGAGAUCAUCAGUUGAGCUGAAACCAAGAGCUGGUCGCUUAACUGACUGAGCCACCUAGGUGCCCCUAGUUUUUAGUUUUUAAAAAUUUAAUUAUAAUGCAGUUAACACACAGUGUUAUGUCAGUUUCAGGUGUACAAUACAGUGAUUCAACAGUUCCAUGUAUACCUUAGUGCUCCUCAUGAAAAUGUAGUCGUAAUUCCCUUCACUUAUUUCCCCCAGUCCCCCACCCACCUCCCCUCUGGUGACCAUCUGUUUCUUCUCUACAGUUAAGAGUCUAUAUUUUGUUUUCUUUCUCUCUCUUUUUUUCCCUUUGUUUGAUUGUUGUGUUUCUUAAAUUCCACAUAUGAGUGAAAUCAUAUGGUAUUUAUCUUUCUUGGACAGGUUUAUUUCACUUAGCAUUAUACUCUAGCUCUAUCCAUGUUGUUGCAAAUGGCAAGAUUUCAUUCUUUUUUAUGGCUGCAUUAUACACACACACACACACACACACACACACACACACUUACAUACCACAUCUCUUUAUUAAUCUAUCAGCGGACAUUUGGACUGCUUCCAUAAUUUAGCUAUUAUAAAUAAUGCUGCAAUAAACAUAGAGGUGCAUAUAUCCCUUCAAAUUAGUGUUUUUGUAUUCUUUGGGCAAAUAUCCUGUAGUGAAAUUCCUGGAUUGUAGUGUAGUCUAUUUUUGAGGGACCUUUAUACUGUUUUCCACAGUGGCUGCACCAGUUUGCAUUCCCACCAACAGUGCACAAGGGUUCCUUUCUUUCCACAUCCUCACCAACAUUUUCUGUUUACUGAGUUUUUGAUUUUAGCCCUUCUGACUGGUGUGCGGUGAUAUCUCAUUGUGGUUUCGAUUUGCAUUUGAUUUGCCUGGUAAGUGAUGAUGAACAUCUUCUCGUGUGUCUGUUGGCCAUCUAGAUGUCUUCAUUAGAGAAAUGUCUGUUCAUGUCUUCUGCCUAUUUUAUAGAUUAUUUUUGUGUGUGUUUUUGGUGUUGAGUUGUAUGAGGUCUUUAUAUAUUUUGGAUACUGAUUUGGAUACUAACCCUUUACCAGUUAUGUCAUUUGCUAAUAUCUUCUGCCAUUCAGUAGGUCUUUUUUUUUUUUUAACCUUUGUUAGUUGCUUCCUUUGCUGUACAAAGGCUUCUUAUUUUGGGGUAGUCCCAAUAGUUAAUUUUUGCUUUUGUUUCCCUUGCCUCAGAAGACACAUGUAGAAAGAUGUUGCUAUGAACACUGACAGAGAGAUUACUACCUGUGCUCUCUUCCUAGAUUUUUAUGGUUUCAGGUCUCAAACUCCAUUUUGAGUUUUUGUGUGUGUGUAUGGUAUGAGAAAGUGGUCCAUGUUCACUCUUUUGUAUGUGGUUGUUGAGUUUUCCCACUGCCGUUUGUUGAAGACACUGUCGUUUUCUCAUCGGAUAUUCUUGCCUCCUUUGUGGAAGAUUAAUUAACCAUAUAACUGUGGGUUCAUUUCUGGAUUUUCUAUUAUUUUCUAUUAAUCUAUAUGUCUAUUUUUGUGACAGUACCAUACUGUUUUGAUAACUACAGUUUGUAGUAUAUCCUGAUAUCUGGGAUUGUGAUACUUAUGCCUUUGUUCUUUCUCAAGACUACUUUGACUAUUCAGGGUCUUUUGUGGUUCCAAUUUUAGGAUUGUUUGUUCCAGUUCUGUGAAAAAUGCUGUUGGUAUUUUGACAGGGAUUUCAUUAAAUCUGUAGAUUGCUUUGGGUAGUAUAUACAUUUUAACAAUAUUUGUUCUUCCAAUCUAUGAACAUGGAGUGUCUUUCCAUUUCUUUGUGCUGUCUUCAAUUUCUUUCAUCAAUGUUUUAUAGCUUUUGGGUACAGGUCUUUCACUUCUUUGGUUAAGUUUAUUCCUAGAUAUUUUAUUACUUUUGGUGCAGUUGUAAAUGGGAUUGUUUCCUUCAUUUCUCUUUCUGCUGUUCCAUUAUUAGUAUAUAGAAAAGCAACAGAUUUCUGUAUAUUGAUUUUGUAUCCUGCAAUCUUACUGAAUUCAUUUAUCAGUUCUAGUAGUUUUUUGGUAGCGUCUUUAGGGUUUUCUGCAUAGAGUAUCAUGUCAUCUGCAAAUAGUGAGAGUUUUACUUCCUUCUUACCAAUUUGGGUUCCUUUUAUUUCUUUUUGUUGUCUAAUUGCUGUUGCUAGGACUUUGAGUACUAUGUUGUAUAAACGGACAUCCUUGUGUUAUUCCCAACCUUAAAAGAAAAGAUCUCAGUUUUUCCCCAUCGAGUAUGAUGUUGGCAGUGGGGUUUUCAUAUAAGGCCUUUAUUGUGUUGAGAUACAUUCCCUGUAGAUCUACUUUGCAGAGGUUUUUUUUUAAAUCAUGAAUGGUUGUUGUACUUUGUCAUAUGCUUUUUCUGCAUCUGUUGAAAUAAUAAUCAUGUAGUUUUAUCCUUUCUCUUGUUGAUGAGAUGUAUCCCCUUGAUUAAUUUGCAAAUAUUGAGACACCCUUUCAAUCAGGGAACAAAUCCCAUUUGAUUGUGGUGAAUGAUUUUUUUUUAUAAUGCAUUGUUGGAUUUGGUUUGCUGAUUUUUUAGGGAUUUUUGCAUCUAAUGUUCAUCAGAUAUAUUGGUCUGUAGUUCUUUUUUGUUGUGGUGUCUUUAUUGAGUUUUGGUAUUAGGGUAAUGCUUGUCUCAUGGAAUAAAUUUGGAAGUUUUCCUUCCUUUUGGAUUUUUUUGGAAUAAUUUGAGAAGAAUAGGUAUUAACUCUUCUUUAAAUGUUUGGUAGAAUUUUCCUGUGAAGCCAUCUGGCCCUGGACUUUUAUUUGUUGGGACUUUUUCGAUUACUGAUCAAUUUCAUGGCUGGUGAUUGGUCUGCUCACAUUUUCUCUUUCUUCUUGCUUCAGUUUUAGGAAGAUAUUUGUUUCUAGGAUUUUAAUCUAUUCUUCUAGGUUGUCCAAUUUGUUGGCAUAUAAUUUUCAUAAUAUUCUCUUACAGUCACUAAUAUUUCUGUGAUGUUGGUUAUUUAUCCUCUGUCAUUUCUGAUUUUAUUUGAGUCCUCUUUUUUUUUCUUUUUCUUUUUUUUAUAAGUCUGGCUAGAGGUUUAUCAAUUUUGUUGAUCUUUUCAAAGAACCAGCUCCUGGUUUCAUUAAUCUGUUCUAAUGUUUUAUAAGUUUCUAAUAAUUUAUUUCUGCUUUAAUCUUUAUUAUUUCCUUCCUUCUACUGGUUUAUUUGUUCUUUUUUUCCUACCUCCUUUAGGUAUAAGGUUAGGUUGUUUAUUUGAGAUUUUUGUUGCUUCUUGAGGUGAGCCCGCAUUGUAUAAUCUUCCCUCUUAUAUCAGCUUUUGUUGAAUUCCAGAGAUUUUGGACCCUUGUAUUUUCAUUUCAUUUGUCUCAAUUUAAUUUUUGGUUUAUUCUUUGAUUUUUUGGUUGACCCAUUCAUUGUUUAGUAGCAUGUUAUUUAACCUCCAUGUAUUUGUGCUGUUGCCAGAUUUUUUCUUGUGGUUGAUUUUGUUUCAUAGCAUUGUGGUCAGAAAACAUGCAUAGUAUGAUUGUUUUGAAUUUCUUGAGAUUUGUUUUGUAUCCUAAUAUGUAAUCUACUCUGGAGAAUGUUCCAUGUGCACUUGAAAAGAAUGUGCGUUCUGCUGUUUUAUGAUGGAAUAUUCUGAAUGUACCUGUUAAGUCCAUCUGGUCUAUUGUGUCAUUCAAAGCCAUUCUUUUCUUGUUGAUUUUCUGUUUGGGUGAUUUGUCCAUUAAUGUAAGUGGGAUGUUAAAGUCCCCUCCUAUUACUGUAUUCCUAUCAAUUUGUUUAUGUUUGUUAUUAACUAUUUCAUGUAUUUGGGUUUCCUCAUGUUGGGGGCAUAAAUAUUUACAAUUGUUAUAUCUUGUUGGAUUUUUCCCUUCAUUAAAUAGUGACUUUCUUUGCCUGUUAUAGUCUUGGUUUUAAAGUCUAUUUUGUCUGAUAUAAAUAUUGCUACGCUGGCUUUCUUUUAAUAUCCAUUUGCAUGAUAAAUGUUUCUCCAUUCCUUCACUUUCAGUCUGCAUGUGUCUUUAGGUCUGAAAUGAGUCUCUUGUAAGCAGCAUAUAGAUGGGUCUUGUUUUUAUAUCCAUUCUGUUGCUCUAUGUCUUUUGAUUGGAGCAUUUAGUCCAUUUACAUUCAAGUAAUUAUUGAUAGAUAUGUAUUUAUUGCCAUUUUGUUACUUGUUUUGUGGUUGUUUUUAUAGUUUUUCUCUGAUCCUCCUCUUGCUCUCUUCCAUGGUUUUCUGGCUUUCUUUAGUGAUAUGCUAGGAUUCCUUUCUCUUUAUUUUUUGCAUACCUAUUACUGGUUUUUGAUUUGUGGUUACCAUUAGGUAUGUAUAUAACAUCAUCUUCACAUAGAAGUGUGUAUUAAGUUGAUGGUUGCUUAAAUUUGAGCCUGUUGGGGCGCCUGGGUGGCGCAGUCGGUUAAGCGUCCGACUUCAGCCAGGUCACGAUCUUGCGGUCCAUGAGUUCGAGCCCCGCGUCAGGCUCUGGGCUGAUGGCUCAGAGCCUGGAGCCUGUUUCCGAUUCUGUGUCUCCCUCUCUCUCUGCCCCUCCCCCGUUCAUGCUCUGUCUCUCUCUGUCCCAAAAAUAAAUAAACAUUUAAAAAAAAAAAAAUUUGAGCCUGUUCUUUAUCCCCCUCUAUCCCAUAUUUCAGGUAUAUGAUGUUAUUUUACAUUUGUGUGUAUGUGUGUGUGUGUGAACCCUUGACUGAUUUUUAUACAUAUACUUAUUUUUUACUGCUUUUGUGUUUCCUACUUUCCAUACUCAUACUUAUGAUCUUUCCUUUCCACUUGAAGAGUCUCUUCUAACAUUUCUUGUAGGGCUGGAUUAGUGGUCACGAACUCCUUUAGCUUUUGUUUGUCUGAGAAACCUUUUUUUGAUGUUUACUUAUUAGAGAGAGACAGACGGACAGACAGAGCAUGAGCUGGGGAGGGGCAGAGAGAGAGGGAGACACAGAAUUGAAGCAGGCUUCAGGCUCUGAGCUGUCAGCACAGAGCCCGACAUGGGGCUCGAACUCACGGACCGUGAGAUCAUGGCCUGAGCCGAAGUCAGAUGCUUAACUGACUGAGCCACCUACGUGCCCCAGUUUGUCUGAGAAACUCUUUAUCUCUCCUUCUAUUCUGAAUGAUAGUCUUGCUGGAUAGAAUAUUCUUGGCUGCAUAUUUUUUCCUUUCGGCCCUAUGAUAUAUCAUGCCACUCCCUUCUGGCCUGCAAAGUUUCUGCUGACAAAUGUGCAGAUAGCCGUAUGGGGUUUCCCUUGUAUGUAACUGUCUUCUUUUCUCUUGCUGCUUCAAAAAUUCUCUCUUUAUUACUACUUUUUUACCAUUUUAAUUAUAUGUGUCUUGGUGUGGACUUCCUUGGGUGGAUUUUGUUGGGGAAUCUCUGUGCCUCCUGGAUCUGGAUAGCUGUUUCCCUCCCCAUAUUAAGGAAAUUUUCAUAUUAGUCCUUCAAAUAAAUUUUCUGCCCCCUUUUCUCUCUCUUCUUCUGGGAUUCUUAUAAUGCAAAUGUUAUUUCUGUUGAUGGAGUUGCUGAGUUCCCUAAGUCUACUUUUAUUUUGCAUAAUUUUUUCCUCUCACCUGUUCAGCCUGAUUAUUUUCCAUUACUCUGUCUUCCAGGUCGCUAAUUCAGUCCUCCGAUUCCUCUAGCCUGUUAUUUAUUUUAUCUGAUAUAUUUUUAAUUUCAUUUAUUGUGUUCCUCAUCUCUGACUGGCUCUUUUUUUAUCUCCUUGUUAAGGGUCUCACUGAUGUCCUCCACUUUUUUAUCAAGCCUAGUGAGUAUCUUUAUGAUCAUUAUUUUAAAUUCUCUAUCCAGCAUAUUAUUUACAUCUGUUUCACUUAGGUCUCUCACUGUGGUAUUGUCCUGUUCUUUCAUUUGGGACAUAUUCCUCUGUCUCAUUUUGUGUAACUAACUGUGUCUGUUUCUGUGUGUUACGAAAAUCAGCUACAUCUUCUGCUCUUGAAAGUAAUGACCUUAUAAAGAGAAGGUCCAAUAGUGCCUAGCUGCGUUCCCUGUUCACCAGAACCUGGCACUUUAGGAGUGUCUCCUAUGUGUGAUGUGCGUGCCUGCUAUUUUGUCCUGGCUGCUUUUUCCUUCAGUCUGGUCAUCUGCAGAGGCUCUCCCUGCCUUUUGUGGGCAGUGUUUGCUUCCUGGCCAAGUGAAGUUUGCAGUUUUAAUAAGGUGCAUGCUGGUCUGCUUGCAAAAUGAUACCCAUUGACUCCUCCAUGACCUGGGCCACAUAGGCUGGGGUGCAGUCUUAACAAGGUGUACCUUUGGCUUCCACGAUGCCCAUUGGUCUCGCCACCGCUGCCACUGCUGGUACCAAGACCCUGCAAAACAUAGGAGCUGGGAGAUGCAGUGUGGGCAAGAUUUGCACUAGUUUUCUGGGGGAGUGGACCCGCUGCACCAGGACUAAGCCAAGCAUGACCAGGAAAGAUAGAGCUUCUGAAGUGCAGGGGGAAGGCUUGGCGUAAGCAAGUUGGGUAGUGAAUGCCAGUGCCUUGCUGCUUGGCACAGGUGGCUGUGUGUUUAUGCUAGGGACUAGGGGAGGCAGAUGGCACCUGCCAGCCCCUUUAUUCAUGGAGGGGUCUUCCGUAGAGGCACACUCUGAGAUGAGCACAUAACUCUCCCUCCUGUAUGCUCCCGGCACUUUCAAACCGCUGCUUCUAUGCUGUAUCUCCAUGGGCUGUUUGUCAUGCUGUCUCUCUAAGGGCGGGGACUCAGCUUCCUAUUGCACUCCAGGCUCUCCUAGAACCCAGCCUGCUGACUUUUAAAAUUCCAAGCUUUAAGUCCCUCUGGUUGUAAAACUUCACAAAAUUCAGCUCCUCUUGCUUUUACUGCCAAAUGUUGUGAAGAUUCAUCUUUCCCAUAUGGACUCGCCAGUGUGAUAGUCUGUUAAUCGCCCUUUUCCAUACCUGUGACUUCCUCCCACCCUGGAUGGCUGUGGUCUGUUUUGAUUCCCACUGUGUCUCUGCCCUUCCCACCUUCUUUGAUGUGGCCUCUUCUAUACCUUUAGUUGCGGACCUUGUUCUGUGAGUAUUUAGGUCAUUUUCUGGGUCAUUUAUGCUGAUGUGUGUGUGUUAUCUAGUUGUAUUCAUGGUAGGAGGUAAGCUUAGGGUCCUCUUACUCUUUGAUCUUCCCAUAGUUCCUAUAUAUAUUUAAAAAUAUUUUAAUAUCUCUAUUAUCUAUAUAUCUAUCAUCAAUCAUUCUAUGUAACAUUUUUUUUGUCCACUCACCCAUCAAUGUAUACUUAAGUUGUUUCCAUACCUUGGUUGUUGUGAAUAAUGCUGCAAUGAACAUGUGAAUGUAGAUUGCUGUUAGAGAUAGUAAUUUCAUUUCCUUUGAAUAUAUACCCAGCAGUGGGAUUGAUGGAUUACAUGGUAGUUCUGUUUGUAAUUUCUUAAGACACUUUCAUACUGGUUUCCUGUUGGCUCUACUAGUUGAUAUUCCCACCAAUAGUAUACAAGCCUUCCCUUGUCUCCAACUCCACAUCAGCAUUUAUUGUUUACUGUCUUUGUGAUAAUAGACAUCCUAGCAGGUAUCAGAUAAUACCUCAUUGUGGUUUUGACUUCCAUUUCCCUGAUGAUUAGAGACAUUUAGCACUUUUUCAGGUACCUGUGGGCUAUUUGUAGGGCUUCUUUGGAAAAAUGUCUAUUCGGAUCCUUUGCCUAUUAUUUUUCAGUUGGGGUAUUUGGGUUUUUUUGCUAUUGAGUUGUGUGAGUCUCUUGCAUAUUUUGGGCAUUAACCCCCAUCGAAUAUACUGUUUGUGAAUAUUGUCUUCCAUAGUCUGUUUUUUCAUUUUGUUGAUGAUUUCCUUUUGUUUGCAGAAGGUUUUGUUUGAUGUGGUCCCAUUUGUUUAUUUUUGCUUUUGUUACUUUUGAUUUGAUCUUUGGGGUCAAAUCCAAAAAAUGAUUGUCAGGACCAAUGUCCAGGAGUUUUCCCCCUAUUUUCUUCAGGUCUUAUAUUCAAUUUUAAUACGUUUUGAGUUGAUUUUUGUGUAUGGUGUAAGUUAGGAGUCCAAUUUCAUUCUUUUGCAUAUGUGUACCAGUUUCCCCAGCUCUAUAUAUUAAAGAGACUAUUCUUCCCCCAUUGUAUAUUCUUAGAGACUUCAUCAAAAAUGAAUUGACAAUAUAUGUAUGGAAUUAUUACUGUUUUAUUGUUUCUUUUUUCCUCCUUAUGGAGAAAGAAAAAUUAAAAUUGUGGAACAAACAUGUUAGACAAUUUAUGGCUUUUUCCCUUCACUUUGUCUCUAAGACUGAGUUGGUGAAAAGUACCCAUCACAUUUGGGAGGAAAAGCUCUAUUGCAUUCAACAAAUAUUGAUUGAGUUCUUACAUGUGUCAGGCAAGGGCCUAGGUAUUGGAUAUGAAGUUGUUUGUAGGGAAGAUGGGAACAUGAAUGCUCUCAAUGUGUUCCUGAAUCCUACUCUCCAAGAUCUAAUGACUCCUACAUCCAUGACCACCAGACCCUCUCCUAGAAAUCAACCCCUUUCUGACCUCUAGUUCCAGUUCUACCUCAUCAUUAUUUGCCUCCUGCUUGCCAACACCCCUUGCUUCUCAUUUAACAAGCACUUACUGAGCACCAUACUGGGAGUCAGUUACCCUUCAGGGUGCUUCAAAUGCAUCAAUGGAAAAAACAGAGAAAGAUUCCAUAUAUUCUACUGGUAAUAGAUUCUAUCAGCUCAUCUAGGCAUCAUUAAAUACUCAAAGAUUUUUGAAUUUCCUCAAAAUACCCAGGACAUUUCUAACUCCUAUCUUCUCCUCUGUAAAUACUUCCAGUCCUGUGUCUCUCUGAUAAACACCUAAUGAUCUUCCAAGAUUCAUUUAAGUGUCUUUUCCUCUGUAAAGUCAUUCCUGACUCCCUUCCUGAAAACAAAGCUAAUGCCCCUUUUCUUUGUACUCCUGUCAUAUAAUCACAUUUUCCUGUCAAUUUUCCACUUUAGAUGAUGAUUUCCAUGUGGAAAGAGAUGGUGGUGGUUGUUGUUGUACAUAUUGACCUACUUACUAUAGACACUUGUUUGGACGUAACUAAUGAAAGGGACAGAGAGAAUGUCUAAUAUUCUAGGUAUCUGGAUAAGCCAAUUUGUAACAUAAACAAUUUAAGAAUAUGCUGCCUUAAAACAUUCCUGCUUAUGUUUAACUUCAUUGUAUAAGUGCUUUCGAAAAAUAUUAAUCAUACUUAGAUUCAGAGAGUCCCUGAAAAAUGUGGGAAUGUUGGCUAACUCUGACAUUCUUCAUUGGAAGUCUUUAAGAAACCGUAAGGGAUUUGAAUUUGUUGAACCUGAAACCAACGAAUACAGACAGCAAUAUAGAGGUAGAUGAUAGUGUUCAGAUUUCUGCAGAAGGCAUUCAUCUGGUAACAAUUUUGUCCGUAUCGCUCCUAGAUUACGCAGCGUCCUUAUUCAGCAUGUUCAGGACAUUGUGUUAUUUGUCACUACAGUGCCAGCACCUAGUAUGGUGCUGGCACUCAGUGAGUGUUUGAUGAAUAAAUGAUACAAUAGUCAAACAACAGGUUUAAUAGGUAUUUAUUUAAACAGGCAGCUAUUUGAACAAAAUGACUGAAUUACCACAAGGCUUUAUUACCUAGGUACUAGCACAGACAUCACAGACUGCUGUUGCAGACUCUAGUCAAUUAUUUAAGCUAAUCUCAGGUGCCAAAGAAAAUGAGCUGCCAUAGAGGAAAUAUGCUUACUGCAUGAAAUAUGAAAUGAGAGAAUAGGUUUUACUUUAUGUUUAAGGAAACCUUGACUCUGAUGAGGAGACAUAAUUUUUGUGGGACUAACCCUUUCAAUAUAAAAACAAAAACUUUAUUGUCCAAUAAAAUAUUUGGAAAAACAGCUUGAUUUUGUAUCAAAUGGCAAAUAUACCACUGUAAAGUACAGUUUCCACUAACCAAGUCAAUGCAGGCCAACAAAUAUUUUCUGAACACCUUUGUGUCAGCUCAUGUGAUGUAAAGAUUAAUAUAAUAGCUCUUUCCCUCUAAAAGUUUUAAAAUAAUGCAUUAGCCCCUGGGUGUGGUGUGGUUUAAUGAGAGAUAACUGAAUGAGUAAUUGAUAGAUCCAGUUUUUAAUUUUUAAAGCAGGUACGUCCUUGACCAUGUCAUCUAGGCCAUGCUCCCAGGAUACAUGUGACUGCUUAUCUUGUGCCAGACACUGGGUGAGCUCUAGUCUCAGAACUGGAACUUGGGAGAUACUCAAUAAAUACUUGCUGAAUGUGUGAAUGAAUGACUGAAGUUAGAACAUCAAACAGUUCUCUGUUCCUGCCUUGUUGAUAGUCAGAAUUUGGUGGUGGAAACAUGAUUAGGGAACAACUCAUAAAGCAUCCUUCUGCUUGAAUGAAGGUUAAGGAAGACUUACAGUUUCAGCCCCAACUGUGUUUGUUUAUUUUUAAUUUUUUAAAGUUUACUUAUUUAUUUUGAGGGGGUGGGGCAGAGGGAGAAAGAGAAACCCAAGCAGGCUCCACUCCACACUCAGUGCAGAGCCUGACAUGGGGCUCGAUCUCACGAACUGUGACUGACACGGGGCUGGAUCUCAUGAAUUGUGAGGUCUUGACCUGAGCUGAUAACAAGUGUUGGAGGCUUAACUGACUGAGCUACCCAGGCACCCCCCAAACUGUGUUUUAGAAAUACUAAGUUUUCCAGGGAGGUUGUCCAUUUCAGGCAGAGGAAACAGGCCUAAAUGUGAAAGGUACCACGGGGUUUUGGGGAUGUGAAGAUCUGGUGGUUUGGCUAGGUUUUGGGAAGGGUUGAGGAAGAGGGUGGAGUUGACCCAAGAGACAAGUAGAGCCAUUAAGAAAAACCCAUGACAAUUUAAUGUACGUACUCAUUCAAAGAUGCCCGUGAAUGGUACAGCCACUCUGGAAGACAGUUUAACAGUUUAUUAUGAAGUUAAAGCUACAUACACAGGUCGAUCCAUUCUUAAGCAUGUACCCCCAGAGAAAUAAAAACUUAUGUUCACACAAAACUUUCUGCAUGAAAGUUUAUAGCAGCUGCAUUCAUAAUUGGCCUAAACUGUAAACAACCCAAAUGUUCCUCAGCGGUUUAAUAGAUCAGCAAACUGGGGUACAUCCAUGUGAUGGAAUACUAUUUACCAAUAACAAAAAUAGUGAUAGACACAACCACUGGAAGGAAUCCCACAGGUGAGUGAAAGAAGUCAGUUUCAAAAAAGUCAUAUAACUCAUGAUAGCAUAUGUAUAUUAUUCCCAAAGAAAAAAUUACUGUAGUGACAGAAAACACAUCAGUUGGUUGUUAGGGGUCAGGUGUGGGGAAAGGGGGUAACUACAAGGGAAUAGCCUAUGGAGUUAUUGAGAGGAAUGAAACUGUUCUCUAUCCUGACUGGUGUGGCGACCGCACGAAUCUGUCUGUGUGCUUACUAUGCACGUGUCACAGUGCAGAGAACCAUACUCACACAAAAAGUGAAUUUGGCUCUAUGUUAAUUUAAAACUUUAAAAAAGGUGAUUGCAAAUGAGAUGAAGCCUGUUAAAGGGCUUCUUUAACAUUCAAACUUCUACAUAUUAUAUUUUGUAUUAUAUAUAGAAUAUGACAUAUUCUAUUUCUGAUGUGAUUCAUUUAGACCACUCACAUCUCCCUUUACUUUUGUCCCUAAAAAUGAUACAAAUUAUAUCUUGUACUUCUCAUUUAUAAAUUUGAGGCUUUUAAAAAACCUUUUUGUAAAGUGUUUGUGGAGGUACAAAAUGUUCCAUUUUGGUGGGAAAUGUUAGACUUGAGAUAUGCAAAUAUUAACUUCUGAAAAAGCCCCUUUUAUGUACUUAGAUAGGAUGAGGAUUCCUAGGAAAACAGCCUGGGAAUGAGACUGUAAUUUCCCCUCAAGGAUCCUCUGGCCCUUGGCUGGGUUGGGAAGGCCACUGACAAUAACCUCUUUCUGUGAACCUUGACUCUCCAGUCCAGAGAUGCUAUGUCCUGCUGUGCCUUGGUGUAAUCUCAUCUACUUUAUGCAGGUUCUUAAUUUAAUACUUGCGAAAGGGUAGAGGAGCAAGGAACAUGGGAGCUCGUCUUUUUACAGAGGAGGAAACCAAAGCCUAGAGAGGCCAUGGUUCUUGCCCAAGGUUCCAGGAGACCAGGAUUGAAACCCAGUUUAUUUAGAUGGCUGGUGGAGUACUCUGUUUCAUAUUCUGCUGCUUAAAGCUUGAACUGUUUGCUUGGCGUUUGGGAGAAACUAUCCCAUGACUCUGUGGGUAGUCCUUUUGCCUUCAUAAAAUAGACUUAAAAACUGAUAGGAAGUACGCAAUUCAUUAACCCCAUGCUUCAUAAAAGGAAAAUAAAUCUAAGUAGGCUUCUUUCCUUUCCGUGGGUGUUUGUGAGUUUCUUAAUGAGAAAGUUCACAUGUGAGGGAGAAAGGGACCCUUGAAAAGCAGCCUGACCUCAAGCUGAUAAUCACUAUUUUUUUUUUUGGAGAGAAAAUGCUUUUGCCUCUUUUAAAGGGACAAGCCCAGGCUCUGACUUGCUUUUCAAAAAGUGGAGAUGAUUUGUAUUGAGUCAUGCACACUCCCUUGCCUAGUUCUAUUUAUCACAUUGUGUGUGUGUGGGGGGGGCAUUUUCCGCAUGUCUUGGUGGAGUUGUGAUCAGUGGGGGAUUGAGCCCAAUUUCAACCUUCGAAGAAGCAGCUGACCAAGUGUCGAGCUGAUCUCUGACACAAGGUAGCUUAGCACAUUGAAAGUGCAGUAGCCCAGGCGGCUAGCAACUAGAUUUGGAUGGUGACUUCGCCACUAGAUUCGAGUAAAUUAUUGCCCUUUGUCAGGCCUCACUGUUCCUGUGUGCAAGACACAACAUUUGGAUUAUAUCAAGAAGUGUACCUACCUGGCCUAUGGGCUACACUCUCCCAGUCUUGGGACCAUGUGGGCGUCACUAGAUGACCAGAGACUAGACCCUCCUUCUCUGAUUCCCAGAAUCUUUGUCCGUGGUAAUCGUGCUCUAAGUAUUAAUGGAAAUUACUCACUGAUGCAUCAUCAUUAACAUAUGUUUGAUGCCAAAACUUUUUUUUGUUGUUGAAUGGAAGACUAAACAGAUUAAUUCAUAUUUGUGCUAGAACUAAGGUCACUCUCUGACCUGUGGCCUACCUUCCACACCUGGAGCUGCCUGAAUCCUGUCUCCUGUGGCCUUACCUGGAACCACGACACCAUCCGCCACCCACUGACCAUCUCCCUGCCAAGCUCCCCUCUCAUUUAGCUUCUCUGAGAGUUGUACCUACCGGAAGGAAUUCACAGUUUUUCAUGGCUCUGUAGACAAAGCCCUUUGGAUACUUAAGUGAAUAAAACAGACUGUUAACAGCGUGAAAUGAUGUUCUGCACGGGAUGUGCCUCAAACAGGAACUGGCACAUGGUUAAUAGCCCUAUUAUCAUCAUUAUUAUUACUCCAAUUGUUAUCUUUAUUAAUAAUUUAGAAAAAAGGCUUCUGCUUAUCUAUAAGGGAUUAUCAUUAAAUAUGUAUUCUUCUGCUUCCCUAUCUUCUCGACAACAACCAAAAUCUAUUGUAGCUUCCAGAUCUGAAUAUUCAUUCCCUGCUCUCUGAGGACGGCUGAGCCAAGCCCAAUUUCACCAGGACUAUGAUUUUAUUAUUUCUGGACUCUGCUCACAAGAAGUAGUAAGUGAAGCCUUAUCAUCUAAGAUUUCUUUCAAAUGGGAAGUUUGCAUGUUUUCUCUUUUAUAACUAAAAAGAAAAGGAGAAAGAGAGAGAGAGAAUACUCACUUUGCCUUACUAGAAAGUCAGUUCUUUGUGCCUAAAGAAUCCAGAGGCUUUUUCUAGUCCCCAUCCCAGUCUACAAUAGACCUUUCUAUACUUUUUUCAUAGCUUCAUAUACACUUCUUUCAUGGAUACAAUGCAUUAAUCAGUGUGAGAUGUUUUCCAACAUUGAGGUGUAAUCUGUAUGAAAGCAGGGACUCUCAUCUUCUUGUCUUCUUUGUUUGCCACUACCUGAUACAAAGUAGUUGCUUAAUAAAUACUGGUUAAACCAAUGAUUUUUCAUGUGAGGUGAGAGGAGGAAGUCCUUUGAAGAAGCCCUGUCUCCUGUCUCCCUGAGUGAGGAUGAGUUGACCUCACCUCCAGAAGCAGAGUACAGGUGCUUACACAAGUCCCUUACUCUUCACAGAUGCCUGGCCUAAGCCUUUGGUGACUUUGAUGGCUAAUUUUAUGUGUCAACUGGGCCAAGCAAUGCCAAAUAGCUGGUUAGACAUUAUUAUUAGGUGUGUGUGCGUGUGUGUGUGUGUGAUGGUGUUUCUGGAAGUGAUUAGCAUUUAAAUUAUGAGCUGAGUAGAGCAGGUGGCCCUCCCCAGCGUGGGUGGGCAUCACCCAGUCCACUGAGGGCCUGAACAGAGAACAAAAAGGUGAAGGUUGAAUUCACUUCACCGUUGAAGCUGGGACAUUAAUCUCCUGUCCACAUGCUCCUGGCUCUCAGGUCUUCAGACCCAGUCUAGAACUGAUAGCAUCAUCUCUCUACAUCUUGGGCCUCUGAGCUGUGUCACAGACUCUGCUAGCCUCCUGGAUGGCACAUCAAGGGACUUUUUAGUUUCUAUAAUCUCAUGAGCCAGUACCUUAUGAUAAAUUUUGUACACACACACACACACACACACACACUCACUCACUCACUCACUCACACACAUCUCCUAUUGGUUCUGACUCUGGAGAACCCUAACUAAUGCAGGGACAGACCUUCAAAAAUAAUUACUGUUGGUGUGCCUGGGUGGCUCAGUCGGUUGAGUGUCUGACUUCAGCUCAGGUCAUGAUCUUGUGGUUCGUGAGUUCAAGCCCCACAUUGGGCUCACUGCUGUCAGCACAUAUCCUGCUUUGGAUCCUCUGUCCCCCUUUCUUCCCCUCCCCCACUCGUGUGCCUGUGUGCAUAUGCUCUCCCUCUCUCUCGAAAAUACACAUUAAAAAUUUUUUAAAAAUGAUUACUAUUUAUUUGAUCCUAUUUCUUUAUAAAUGUUAUAUCCUUUUCUUUUUCCACUCAGAAUAUAACUAGGCUUUCAGAUAGAGCUACAAAAUACCUCUGUUGAAGGUGAAUGAUGCUGAGCAAAGUAACCAUAUCAUUUGGUCAAACCAUCAGCAAAGUUUGCAUUUCCAAGUAUUGCUUUUGGUAUCUAUCUAUCUAUCUAUCCAUCGUCUAUCUGUCUAUCAUCUAUAGUUUUUUCUCUUUUUAAAAAAUGCAACAGUGUGGGGACACCUGGCUGGCUCAGUUGUUUAGGCAUCUGACUCUUGAUCUCAGCUCGGGUCUUGAUCUCAGGGUUUGUGAGUUCAAGCCCCACAUUGGGUUCUACACUGGGCAUGAAGCCUACUUAAAAGAAAUGCAACAAUAUGCUGUUAUUAGGCUCAAGGAGCAGAGCAGGGCUUUUUCAUGGAGACUUAAGCACACCAUGGUUACUUCUGCCACACUCUGUGUUGCCAUAUUAUCUUGGACCCUGACCUUGACCCCAUGUGCUAGGUCUUGCUCCCAUUUUGCACAUAACAAAUCUGAGGACUAGGAAAGAUAAGCAGUGUGCCCUAGGUUCUAAGUUUAGCCUUUGCUGCUUCCUAAAGACACAUGUUAUUGGAAGUGGGAAAGACGGUAGAAUUUUUUUUUUUUUUUUUUAAAGUUGAAGAAUCACAAGCAGCAAGGUACGAGGAUAGGAAAGAACAUGGUGUGUCCGGGGAACCCAGAGUCGUCGAGGUUACAUGGAGUGUAUCAGGAAACAGGGUGGCAUCCUGUGGGUCUGUGCACUGGUUUGUAGGUCUGAGCAGCAAAACAGUGAUGGCAGACUGGUAGCUGUUAACACCACACUGCUCUCCCUGGGAACUGGAGGGCAAAGCCUGCUUAUUCCUAAGAAAAUACGGCCUUUCCUUUCAACCUUCAGCUGUGUAAUUGAUGAUAGAAAUAAUUAUCAAAGGGUUUAGAACUGGCUAAGAUUCAUAGAAGUCUCUCUUAAGAAAAAAAAAAAUUCCACGGUAAUCCAGGUUACAUCCAAUCCCCGAGUGGAUGUGAUGCCAAUUACUGCCACCUGCCCCAUCUUGUCUCGGUUAUGACACCCCAGGGAGAGCUGCACUUAAGGCCCUGUCAAAAAUGUCAGCUCUGCUUCUGGGGCCAGAUGCAAUAACUUCCCUUGAAGACUGCCGGGGCUGCAUCCCACGUGAAAAGCAACAUUAAAUCUUCCCUCAGGCUAAACAGUGACUGCCAAUCUAGCACUGUGUUUUCAGCAUACACAGGGAGACCGAACCCUUCCUCCGGAAAGAAUGUGCCAGAUGUUGCGCCAGAUGCUCUAGAUAGGUUGUCAUUUAAUACCUGACACCUGAAAGCCUAUUUAUCCUCAUUCCCAAUUCACACAUGAGAAUAUUGAGGCUCCAAGGUCACGUGCUUUAUGUGGAUAAACAAGGAUUUUAGCACAUCAUUCUCAACCCCUACAUAUAUUCUCCAUCUCUUCUAUUAUAAUUGGCAAGAACUUAGAUUUCUUUUGUAUUCUUUAAUUGGGAUCCCUUGGUAACUUUCGCCCCACUGUCUUCAAAAUUCUUAGUUUCCAUCCCCAGCGCCCACCAAGAAUCUAACUUCAAUUCGGACUGACUGGAAACAUACACCGCCAUCUUGGUUUUUUACAGUGGAACCCAUGGAAACAAUAUCAACACUAAGGAAAGUCUCUGUUGUGAGAGCCCCAGUGACAAAUAUAAAAAUGAGAAAGUUAUUGGCCAUAUUUUCAAGUUUUAGCCAGAAGAGCUGUUAAAACGAAUGGAAAUGAUUAUUACCCGUUUCCGAAAGUGAUGAAUUCUUCCUCUCUAGGAGCUCGUGUACUUGAUGAGUACCUAUCAAUUUCAAGUUACUUUUACAGGCAAUACACCAUGAGAUAUUCACAAUAGCCCUGCCAUGCAAAUAAGUUAGGAAAUACAGCUGUCCAUCUGCAAAAUCCCUUGGUCAGUGUCUCAAAGCUGUAGGUACUGGACCCCAAAUUCAGUGUUAAGUAUUCUGAUUACAGACAGGGCUGUUUCCACAGCUAUACAGUUGCCUCCCAAAAUGUGCCUAAUGCUUAACUAUUUCAUAUUCAUUCACUUGUUUAUUCUUCCACAUAUUCUUUCAAUAAUAUUAGUCUUUUUUUUUCCCAUUGGACAGACAUGCUGUGUGAGAACAUAAAAAAGCUUUAUCAAAUAGCUCACAAUCUACUGCUACUAAUAAUCGCAAUUCAGUAAAAUAGACACAACCACCAAAGAUUGAGAUCAUCGUAGCUACAAAGAAGAGAUGGAGUUUUGUUUCAAUGCCUCACAGAAGUUGCUUGAUGUGGCUUUGACAGAUAAGGUUUUACCAGGUGGCUAAACAUGUGAAAACCUUGUCAUGUGAAUUUUGCCUGAAAGUCUAUUAUAUUUAAUUAAAAGAACAGUGGUUUCAACAAUAUACAAUGAUACCCAUGUGUUAACAAGACAGGCUUUUGCUUUUCUUUAUCUCAGGAUAACAUUUAAUUACAUUGGGCCUUCCUUCAAUCUAGAUGCUUUUCCAGUUGUUGGGUAUAGCCUCUACACCGUGUUUUAAUUAAAAGAUUUUUCUCUUUGUUAAUACGGUGUUUCUUUUCGGAUUGUUAGUAUUAGGAAGCAUGAGUGUUCUUUGCACAUUGUGGGAGUAUUUGAAUUUCCCCCCAGGGAACUGGGUAGUUCACAUACAAUUUCUUGCAUCAAUCACAUUGAUUGAAAGAGAAGCCCUCCUGAAGGGCUUUGAUUUAUGUUUCGAAAUAAAAGACUAAACACAAUUAUGAAUGGAAACAUAAACACACAUGAUGGUUGUUCAACGCUCGCUGCAUGCAUGAGCCAUAGUUCAGCCAUCCACUUUGACACGGUUAUAAUUGAGUAUGUAGCCAUAAAAAAAACAAAAAACAUAAAACAAAACAAAAAAAAACAACCGUUGGAGAGGAUGUGAAGAUUAGGUAUCAUUCUUCCCAACGCUCCAGAUGAGCGUUCAAAACAAAUGCCAACCAGGGCCAGGCAGAUAACUGGGAUGAAACAGGCCCUCAACACAGAGAAAGCAAUGUCCCAUCUAAUCGUGUAGCUUCAAGUCCGCUAUAGUGAAUUCUCGCCAUGAAGAAACAUGGACUGUGGUUGCCAGUUCUUCUGAUUUUUUUACAAGAAAUUGAAAAAUGAGAUAGUUCAUCAAAAUCUCUCAAUAUUUACAUUUUAGUAUUUUAUUCAUUCAUUGUGAAUUCAUUUAAACUAUGAAGAGCUAAGCAAAGUGCAUUAGAGGGCUGGUUGUGGUCCACCGUUAGUCUAGGCCUUCGGCUCUCGCGUGGGAGUCAGUCUUCGGCUGUCCAUAGGGCAGGACCACCACUGACCAUUCGGAUUGUAUUUCUGAUUGCUCACUCUAGUAUUACUUUUAUCUAGGUGGGGUCAAACUGGAUAGUUUCUGGGGGUGGGUUUAUAUAGCAAUGACCCUACAGAUAGCCACUGCACCUGACGAAUUGUUAGUGCUGUGGGGCAGGAUGGCUGAGAGGGAACUGGGAACUAGUCUCAUUGCUACACCUGCCAGGCAUCCUCUGACUUCCCAGCUAGAUAACACGGAGGUGAUUUCAACAAGCUCUGAGGUUUUAUCUAAAGGAUGUGUUAAAAAAAAAAAAAGAUAAAGCUUUGUGAAAUGGCCAAAUAAUUAUAUUCAGAGUCCCAGAGAAGUAUGAAUAACCAAAAAUCCUGCUCGUGUUCAUUUUGGAGUAAAUGGAGCAGAAAAACAACCAAAUCGACAGGAUGAUAUAUUGUUAAACUGGCUAGGCAUGCAUAGCUUAUUUAAACCAAUAAAAAAUGGUAUCAUAACUCCUUCAUCUGAACUCCUGCAUUAUGUUUGCCUUAAAAACCAUAAAAUCAGUCACCUGUUCUGCGAUCGUUUUCACUUUUCUGUGUUCUCUUCUGGGUUAGUCUGUGUGUUCUAGGAGAAGAGCUAUCAGUGUUAAAUUAUCCUAGGUCAGAGCUGUGGUCUCUCUCCAUUGUUCCGGUAAAUUCAAGGUAGAAUGGAUUUAAUACUCCAUAGCACAAACUCUGGAGUCCGGCUGCCUAAGUUUGAAUCUAUCUUCACUAUUUUGUAGCCAGGAGUUUGGGGCAAUUUCCUUAAUAGCUCUGGGUCUCAGUUUCCUAAGAUGCAAAAUAAGAUGUUGAGAGUUGUUGUGCGGAUGAAAUAAGUAAAAAUGGUUAAAACGGUGUCUGGCACAUAAGCGUUCAAGAAAUGUCACCUACCGUGAUUCAGUUUCUUAUUGCUUAGAUGCCCAGGUGAUAUCCAACUGAUGGAUUUUCUCAUGACCCACCAGUGGUUUCCAGCAAGUACUGGUACAGAAGGAGGGAUGUUCUGUCAGACCCAAAGCAUGUUUCUUCCAUGAAAGAAUAAAAAAUGCUUUGUGGUUGGAAAACUGAUGGAAUCGAUGAAUGAAAGUGUAAAUGAAAACAGGGAUGAAUUAUACAAAUUGUUGGCACCACGUUCAAAUUAUAUUUUCCCCUUUGUUUUCCCUAGUUUAGAACAAUGACUGGCCUAAUCUUUAAAAAAUUGUCAAAUUCUAUUGAAAGCUGAAUAUAAAUGUGAAGAGAGACCAGAUUCGCUGCUCACCAUCAACUGCAACCCAUCCCUUUGUUAAUUUCAUCUUCUUUUCCUGUCCAACUCAAGGCGCUGCUGUGGCUCAGCUUUGUCUCCUUGCUGCUGUGACAUCAUGCUAUUGCCUUCCUUUUGACCUUCACGCCCUUUCUCUUCCUUUCCACCUUACCAAACGCUACUCAUUCUCUGAAGCUCGGUUUAAUUCUCACUUUUCCCCAAAGUUGCCCUUCAUCUGGCCUUCAUUAGAAUUUCACAAUUACCAUAAUUACCAUAACACUAUUUACAUUUUUAUUAUCUCCCUGAUAAUUUGUCAAUUUCCUGGGAGAAACAGCCACAUAUCCUAUUUUUUCAAUGUUUUUAUUUAUUUUUUGAGAGAGAGAGACAGAGUGAGUGCGGGAGAGACAGAAAGAGAGGAAGACACAGAAUCUGAAACAGGCUCCAGGCUCUAAGCUGUCAGCACAGAGCCCGACCUGAGGCUCGAACUCGGGAUGGCGAGAUCAUGACCUAAGCCGAAGACGGACCCUUAAUCAACUGAGCCACACAGGCGCCCCAUCCUAUUUUUCCUCAUAUAUCUUACAUUGACAGUGGCUAAAAAUUUCUUUUUUUUUAAGUUUAUUUAUUUAUUUUGACAGAAUGCAUGUGCAAUUUGGGGAGGGGCAGGGAAAGAGAGAAUCCCAAGCAGGUUUUGCACUGUCAGUGUGGAGCCUGAUGCGGGGCUUGAACUCACAACUGUUGAGAUCAUGACCUGUGUUGAGACCAAGAGUCAGACACUUAACUGACUGAGCCACGCAGGUGCCCCAUGGCUAAAAAUUUCUAAAACAUCAAUGGGGGCAAAUUUUGAAGCAAAACGGUUUUUUCUUUAUAAGAGACAUCAUGUUAAGUAUUAAAUAUAAUUUGUCUUUUAUUUUACUAAAAAUAUAAAAAAUAUAUUUUCUAACUCCAAUCACAGACCACAGUAAAUUUUAGAUACAUCAAAUGCUUAAGCAAAAAUGAUUAAAUUAUAAAAUGUGUAACAAGUACUAAAGUACUAAAGGUAAACAUAUUUAAGACCUGGUAUUGGGCAGAAAAAGAUUGAUAAUGUAAAGAUUGAAAAUAGCAUUUCUUUGUAUCAUACUACUUAGUGGCAAAUGGUAUAUAGUAAUAUGUAUAUCAGAAAAAAUUAUUCUGCAUAUAUAAAGUAUACCUACAAGUUCAUAAGAAAAAAGUGAGAAUAGCAAAAGAAAAUUGAGUACUGUUGAGCAUCUUUUCAUGUGUCUGUUGGCCAUUUGUCUGUCUUCUUAGGAAAAAUGUCUUUUCAGGUCCUCAGCCCCUUAUUUAUUUUUUUGUUUCCCCAAUAUUGAAAUAAAAUUUUCCUAACAUGCGGCAAAGAUGCAAGAAUUUAUAAUAAACACCCACAUACCCAUGACCUAGAUUCUACUGUUAACAUUAUAGUAUGCUUGCUUUUUCAUGUGUCUAUUUAUCUACCCAUUUGCCAUUAUAUUUUUGAUGCAUUUCAUAGUCAAUUGCAGACAUUAAUAUACUUCCCCUAAAUUUCAGCAUGUAUAUUAACUAAAGUUCAAUAUUUACAGAUUUUUUUCUCUCGAAAUACAAUUUGUGUACAGUGAAAUGUACACAUUUUAAGUGUAUGUUUGUUGAGGUUUUUUAAAAUCAUUUUUAUUUUUCACCAUGAAAAGUGUACUCUUUAAUCCUUACCUCCCCACCCAUCUCCCCUCUGAUAACCAUCAGUGUGUUCUCCAUAGUUAAGAGUCUGUUUCGUGAUUGGUCUCUUUUUAUUCUUUGCUCAUUUGUUUCUUAAAUUCCACAUAGGAGUGACAUCAUGAUAUUUGUCUUUCUCUGACUUAUUUUUAUUUUGCUUAGCAUUAUACUCUCUAGAUCCAUCCAUGUUGUUGCAAAUGGCAAGAUUUCAUUCUUUUUUUAUGGCUAAUAUUCCAUUGUGUGUGUGUGUGUGUGUGUGUGUGUACCAAUAUCUUCUUUUUUCAUUCAUCUAUUGAUGGACACUUGGCCUGCUGCUAUAGUUUGGCUAUUGUAAAUAAUGCUGCAGUAAACAUAUGGGUGCACGUAUCCCUUUGAAUUAGUGUUUUGGUAGUUUAGGGGUAAAUACCCAGCAGUGCAAUUCCCGGAUUGUAGAGUAGUUCUAUUUUUAAUUUUUUAAGGAAACAGCAUACUGUUUUCCACAAUGGCUGCACCAGUUUGCAUUCCUACCAACAGUGCAUGAGGGUUCCUUUUUCUCCACAUUCUCACCGAUGCUUGUUGUUUAUCGAGUUUUUGAUUUUAGCCAUUAUUACAGGUAUGAUAUGAUAGCUCAUUGUGGUUUUGAUUUGCAUUUCCCUGAUGAUGAGUGAUGUUGAGUAUCUUUUCAUGUGUCUGCUGGUCAUCUGGAUAUCUUUGGAGAAAUGUUUGAUCAUGUCUGCUGCCCAUUUUUAAAUUAGAUUAUUUGUGUGGGUUUUUUUUUUUUUCGUGUUUUGUGAUAUAACAUCUUUCUUUAUGUAGUUUGGAUACCAUCCCUUUAUCAGGUAUGUCAUUUGCAAACAUCUUCUCCCAUUCAGUAGGUUGCCUUUUAAGUUUUGUUUGUUGUUUCCUUCACUGUGAAAAACCUUUUUAUUUUGAGGUAGUCUCAAAGUUUACCUUUGCUUUUACCUCCCUUGCCUCGGGAGACAUAUCUAGAAAAAUGUUGCUAUGGCCAAUGUCAGAGAGAUUACUGCCUCUGCUCUAUUUCAGGAAUUUUAUGAUUUCAGGUCUAACAUAUAGGUCUUUAAUCCAUUUUUUUAAUGUUCAUUUAUUUUGAAAGAGAGAGACAGCGAGGGAGAGUAUGAGCGGGGCAGGGGCAGAGAGUGACGAAGACACAGAAUCUGAAGCAGAGGCUCCAGGCUCUGAGCCAUUAGCAUAGAGCUUGCCAUGGGUUUCAAACCCACAAGUCCUGAGAUCAUGACCUGAGCUGAAGUUGGACGCUUAACAGACUGACCCCAUAGGUGCCCCCGUCUUGAAAGCAUUUUAAGUUAUUUUUGUGCAUGGUGAAAGAAAGUGGUCUAGUUUCAUUCUUUUGCAUGUAGCUGUCCAGUUUUCCCAACACCAUUUGUUGAAGAGACUAUCUUUUUCCCAUUGCAUAUUCUUUCCUAUUUUGUCAAAGAUUAAUUGACCAUAUAAUUGAGGGUUUUUCUGGAUUUUCUGUUCUACUCUCUUGAUUUAUGUGUCUAACUUUUUAUGUCAGUGCCAUACUGUUUUAAUUACUACCACUUUGUAAUACAGUUUGAAAUCUGGAAUUGUGAUACCUCCCAUUUUUCCAUUUUUAAGAUUGCUUUGGCUAUUCGAGGUCUUUUGUGGUUCCAUACAUAUUUUAGGAUUAUUUAUUCUAGUUCUGUGAAAAAUGCUGUUGGCAUUUUGAUAGGGACUGCAUUAAAUGUGUAGAUUGCUUUGAGUAGUAUAGACAUUUUUUUUUUUUCAACGUUUAUUUAUUUUUGGGACAGAGAGAGACAGAGCAUGAACGGGGGAGGGGCAGAGAGAGAGGGAGACACAGAAUCGGAAACAGGCUCCAGGCUCUGAGCCAUCAGCCCAGAGCCUGAUGCGGGGCUUGAACUCACGGACCGUGAGAUCGUGACCUGGCUGAAGUCGGACGCUUAACCGACUGCGCCACCCAGGCGCCCCUAGACAUUUUAACAAUAUUUGUUCUGCCAACCCAUGAACAUGUAAUGUCUUUCUUUCUUUCAUCAAUGUUUUAUAGUUUUCAGAGUACAGGACUCUCACCUUUUUGGUUCAGUUUAUUCCUAGAUAUUUUUUUGGUGCAGUUGUGAAUGGGGUUGUUUUCUUAGUUUUACUUUCUGCUGUUUCAUUAUUGAUGUAUAGGAAUAUGGCAGAUUUCUGCAUAUUGGUUUUGUACCCUGCAUCUUUACUGAAUUCAUUUAUCAGUUCUAAUAGUUUUGUUGAGGGAGUCUUUAGGGUAUCCUACAUGUAGUAUCAUGUUAUCUGCAAAUAGUGAGAGUUUCCUUCAUUCUUACCAAUUUGGAUGCUUUUUAUUUCUUUAUGUUGUCUGAUUGCUGUGGCUAGGACUUCUGGUAUUACGUUGAAUAAAAGUGGUGAGAGUAGACAUCCUUGUCUUAUUCUUGACCUUAGGAGAAAAGCUCUCAGUUUUUCCCCAUUGAGUAUGAUGUUGGCUGUGGGUGUUUCAUGAGACCUUUAUUAUGUUGAGAUAUGUUUCCUCUAGAUGUACUUUCCAGAGGGUUUGUAUUAUGAAUGGUUGUUGUACUUUGUCAAAUGCUUUUUCUACAUCUUCUGAAAUAUUCCCAUGGUUUUUUUUUUUUUUUUUCGUUUCUCCUAUCGAUGUGACAUAUUAUGUUCAUUGUUUUGUGAAUAUUAAACCACACUUGCAUCCCAGGAAUAAAUCCCACUUGAUUGUGAAUGAUUUUGAAAAAUAUAUUGUUGGAUUUGGCUUACUAAUAUUUUUUGAGGAUUUUGGCAUUUGUAUUCAUGAGAGAUAUUGGCCUGUAGCUCUUUCAGUUUAGUUUAGUUUUUUUGUUUGUUUUUUUUUCUGGUGUUCUUUAUCUGCUUUUGGUAUCAGGGUGAUACUGGCCUUAUACAAUGAAUUUGGAAGUUUUCCUUCCUUUUGGAUAUUUGGAAAUAGUUUGAGAAGAACGGAUAUUAACUCUUCUUUAAAUGUUUGGUGGAAUUUGCCUGUGAAGCCCUCUGGGGCUGGACUUGUUUGUUGUGAGUUUUUUGAUUACUGAUCAAUUUCAUUGCUGGUUAUUUGGUCUGUUCAGAUUUUCUAUUUCUUCCUGUUUUUGUUUUGUUAGGUUAUAUAUUUCUAAGAAUUUAUCCAUUUCUUCUAAGCUGUCCAAUAUUUUGGUAUACGGGUUUAUCAUAGUAUUAUGUUGUGAUUGUAUUUUUGUGGACUUCCUUGAGUUCUUCUUGUCUGGGGUUCUCUGGACUUCUUAGACCUGGAUGUCUGUUUCCUUCUCCGUAUUAGGGAUGUUUUCAUCUAUUUCUUCAAGUAAGUUUCCUUCCCCUUUCUCUCUAGCUUUUACUUCUGAAACCCCAGUAAUGCAAAUACCUGAUAUUGUCCCAGAGAUCCCUUAAUCAUUAUUUUUAAAAAUUCUUUUUUUCUUUUUGGUGUUCAGUUUGGGUGCUUUCCAAUCGCCUGUGUUCAGAUCACUGAUACAUUCUUCUACAUCCUCUAAUCUUCUAGUGCGGAUUUGACUUCACUGAUUGUAUUCUUCAGUUCUGAUUAGUCCUUUUUUAUAUUUUCUCUCUCUUUGUUGAAGUUCUCAUGGAGUUCAGUCUUCUGCCUGAGCAUCUUUAUGACCAUUACUUGUAACCCUUUAUCAGGUAGAUUGCUUUUCUCCAUUUUGUUUAGUUCUUUUUCUGGAGUUUUGUCUUGUUUUUCAUUUGGAGUAAAUGCUUUCUCCUUAUUUUGUUUGACUUUCUGUGUUUCUACGAAUUCGAUAGAAGAGCUACUUCUCCUAGCUUUGUGGGAAUGGCCUUGUGUAUGAACAUCCCCUGUAUAGACCACGUACCUGGUGGCUUUGGCUGGCUGGGGCUGUAGCAAGCAUGGGCUGGGGGUCCCGGGGUGUUCCAUGUAGGGGGCUCCCCAGGGGAUGGCAGGAACUGAAGCAGGCUAAGACCUGGUGGUCACCAGAGUUCUCCACACAUGGGGAACCCUAGCAGGACAGAGCUGAGGUGGGCACAGGCUAGGAGAUCUCAGGGCACUCCACACAGAGUGCGCCCUGGUGAGUCAUCUGCGCUUGAAGCAGAUAUUGGCCUGGCGUGUAGUGGGCUGCUUUGUACCUGUGUCACCUUAGCAAGACAGAGCUGUAAUAGGUGCUAUCUGUGGGUGUUCUGGAGCUGCCUUGUGAUGGCUGGAAAGAGCAAAUUUUGUUUUAAAAUUAUGGACUUGAAUUAUGGCUUCACUUCUCAGCUGUCUCAUUUGGGCGCAGUUUCCAGAGUACCUUGGAAUCUUAAUUUUCUGAUUAGUAACAAAGGUUUCUAAUAUGUACCUUUUAGGUUUGCUGUGAGGUUGAAUAAGCUAAUUAGAGAAUCUGGUAAGGUUUCCAGUGCUCAAGAAAUGAUCAUCACUCCAUAAAAUGAAACCUUUAGAGACAAGAGCCAGUUAGCUUGCCAUUGAGAAACUGUGUAGUCAAUAUAAAGGUAGACCCACGUGUUACUAUAACUUGAACAGAAGACUCUUCUAUGGAAGUGUGAAUCCAUAUGCUAUGUGCGUGGCGGGUGCUUGAAGUUAGCUUCUUUGUCUACGGAAGGUGGGCCUAUAAUUUCCAGAGGCGGUGCUGCCUCUCUGAUUCCUUGCUACCCUCUCACCCUUGCAUGAGCAUCUUUGGCCAAUCUUCCGCUUGAUGUGUUUGCUUCAUUAUUUACAACAUUGGGCUACCCCUGGGCUAGGGGUAAGGCUAAUGUCAGCUCCUAGUUUUGCACAAACAGUUCUGCUGACAGAGGGCAGAAGGAAGAAAACAGACACAGGGAAGAGAAGCUUCGACGACUGCUUGCCAAAUCCCUGCUCGUAAACUUUCUCAGUGAAGAAAAGCUCUCUAAAGCCACACUCACAUUUUGUUUCUUUUUCAAAAUUGAGUCUGACCCUUAUUCUUUAUCACAUUACCCUCUCUGAACGAUCUCCAAAUACUCGGAGCCACUCACGGCUUUGCCGUAUCUAACAUACAUGCCCUAAUCCCCUCCUUUCUGGGGAGUUUUUCUUAGAUGUGCAUGAUGAAUGUGGAGAGAUUUGCUAGCAGGUGAGGCAAGGAUCAUCCCCAGGCUCUGUGGGGGACGGUGUGGCAAACAAAGGCAGUGGGCCUAGGAUUCACUGCCCUGCUUGUGAGGAUGGGGAACAGGGCCAACAGGGGCCAUUCAACACAGUAUUCCCAGCAUGUGGCCUAGAGAAGGUGUUCAGAAAAUAUUUGCCAGUCUAAAGGUGAGCCUUGCCUGGGAAACCUGUUAGUCUGUCUGCUUAUUGUCAAUAAUCUAACAAGAUGCUAUGCCCUCAAAGAGUUUGUAAAUCUCAUCCCUCCACCCCAGUCAAGUAAUAUCUUUGGUAGGGUUCCUAUACCCUUCCUUGAAUACCCCCAGGGCAGCCCCACAGAAAUCAACAGGAGAUGGGAGACUAAUUUUGGAUACAGACUGAGCUGGGUUCAAGCUGUCCAAAAAAUCAGUUUAAUAAUAUAAAAUACUAGGGAUAUGGGAGGCCAAGAAAGGACUACUAAUUCUCGGGGUCUCCUAGCAGCUCUAUUGCAGCCUCUUUGGGGAAGCCACCCCUUUGUCUUGGUCACCCCUUCGUGGCACACUUAACCUUGCUCAGGUUAAGUCGGUUCUGUUGGGAGAGGAAUGACUGAACAUAAGUUAACGUAAAUUGAACACGGUUUAACACACACACAUGCGUGCAUUCCUUCAUUCCCUUUACCUAUUUUGCCCCCACUCCCCAUGUCUCAGAUACAGGCUCCCUUUCUACAGACGUCUAUCCCUUUGCCCCUGUUGCUAACUUAGAUUUCCCUGUAAUUUACUCAUUCUGGGCCUGGCCCAGAGCAAGUGUUCUAAUGAACAAGUUUCUGGCUCAGGGGCCUAAGCACAAAAUGUUGGUGGGUGAUAUGAUUGUUCCUGGGACACACGUAGGUACUCAGUUGUCUUUACCACCCAUGUUUAUUUUCUUCCCAGAGCUUGAAGGAGGAUCCAGCCUGCUUCUCACACCACUGAAGUUCCCUCUUCAUCACCUUGGCUUUGCACUUCCCGGAAUGGAACUGCUUGUUAACUCUCUGAACUAGCCCAAAGCAGGUAAUAUUCAAAGCAGUUCAAUCCAAAGAGCUAUUUUUACAAGUCUGCUGGGAGAUAACAUAGGGGAUAAAGCAGAUUCCAGAAAUACUACUGAUAAGACCCAGCUUUGGGGAGAGGAGAAGGGAGAGGCUGAGGGAUGGAUAUGGGACUCCAGUGGUCCCCAUCCUUCUCCUUUUUUUUAAAUUUUAAUUUUAAUUAAUUUAUUUUUUUAUUUUAGAGACCGCAUGAGCAGGGGAGAGGGGCAGAGGAGAGGAGAGGGAGAGAGUGAGAAAGAGAGACAGAGAGAGAGAGAGAGAGAGAGAGAGAAAAUCUUAAGCAGACCCCAUGCUUAGUGUGGAGACAUGGGCUCAAUCCCACCACCCUGGGAUCAUAACCUGAGCCGAAAUCAAGCAUUGGAUGCUCAAUGGAGUGAGCCACCCAGGUGUCCUCCCCCUCCUCCUUCCUUCUAUGCAGUUUCAUUCCUAAAGCAAAACAAUCCCUGGGGACUUGGGGGUGGGGUGGCGAUGGGAGCUAAUUCUAGGAGGUGGAAUAGGGAGAGAAACAGGAACAGCCGCAGCCAGCAAUCUGUUCAAAUGUCAAUAGGAAGAGAGAGAAGCCUUGAUCACACUUCCACAAUGUUCAGGUUAAGUCCAGUCCUGCUGGGAGAGUAAUAAUAACCAUGACAACAGUAACAGUUAACGUCUGGAACCACUGUAAACAUUGUUUAGUUUAAUGCACACAUGAAUGCACAUACACAAAGGAAACACUAUUCUUACUCUGUUUACUAGUAAGGAACCUGGAACUAGGAGCAGUUAAGGAAGUUGUCUGAGAUUCCGCAGUUGGGAAGUGGUAGCAUCUCAUGUGAACCUAAGUAGUCUGGCUGCAGAGAUUCUCUCUUCCACCCUUACAACCUAUAUUCCAGGACUCUUGCUUCAGGUUUUUCAAAAAAUGUAUGCACAUACAAAUAUGCACACUUAAAACAUAAACUCUUUUUAUUAUUAAAAAGGAGUCACACACAUCCCUCAUUUAAUAUUUUGGGAACAAUGGUGGGGACUGAGUUAUUCUAUGUCCCUGCCAGUUACUUUAUAACAAAUUUAUUGAGAUCUAUUUCAUUUUCCAUAAAACUUAACCCUUUAAAGGAUGUAUCUCAGUGCUUUUUGGUAUAUUCACAGGGUUGUGCAACAAUCCCUACCUAAUUUUGGAACAUUUUCAUCCUUCCAGAACAAUCCCAUUACCAUUAGCAAUCAUUCCCAUUGCCUCUUUUCCCCAGAAUCUGGUAACCACUAAUCUACUUCCUGUCUCUGGGCACGUCAUAUAAAUGGGCUCAUAGAACAUGUGGCCUUUUGUAACUUGUUUCUUUCACUUAGCAUGUUUUCAAGGUUCAUCCAAGUGGUGGCAGGUGUCAGUACUUACUAUGUUUGAUUAUAAUUCCAUUGUAUGGAUAGAACAUAAUUUGUUCAUCAAUUCAUCUACCGUUUCACUUGUUUCUACCUUUUGGCUAUCAUGAAGAAUGCUAUAGUGAACAUUCACUUGCAAGUUUAUGCAGACACUACGUUUUCAUUUUGGGGUGUUUGCCUAGGAGUAGAAUUGCUGGAUCACAUGGUAACUCUAUGUUUCACUUUGUGAGGAACUGGCAGACUGCUUUCCCAGCACUGUCAGUGCAGAGCCCGAUGAGGGACUCAAACUCACAAACCGUGAGAUCAUGACUUGAGCCAAAAUCAAGAGUCAGAUGCUCAACCAACUGAGCCACCCAGGCACCCCAUAAAUAACAUUCCAAUAAACAUGGGGGUGCAUAUAUCAUUUUGAAUUCGUGUUUUCAUUUUCUUUGGGUAAAUACCCAGUGGUGGAAUUUACUGGAUCAUGGGGUUGUUCUAUUUUUAAUUUUUUGUGGAACCUCCAUACUGUUUUCCACAGUGGGGGUACCAAUUUACAUUCUUAUGAACAGUGUUUGAGGGUUCCCUUUCUUCCAAAUCUUUGACAACACUUAUUUCUUGUUUUGAUAAUAGCCACUCUGGUUAGAGUAAGGUGAUAUCUUAUGGUUUUGAUUUGCAUUUCCCUAAUGAUCAGUGAUGUUGAGCAUCUUUUUAUGUGUGUACUUACCAUCUGUAGGACUUCUUUGGAGAAAUGUCUAAUUGGGUUCUCUGCUCAUUUCUUAAAUCAGUUUUUUUGUGCGUUGUUAUAUGUACUAUAUUUUGACUAUUAGUCUCUUACCAGAUAUAUCAUUUGAAAAUAUAUUCUCCCAUUCUCCCUGACUUGUUGAUGGUUUCCUUUGCAAAAACUUUUCAUUUUGGUGUAGUCCCAAUAGCUUAUUUCUGCUUUUAUUUUUCUUGCCUGAGACUGAAUAAACCACACUGUCCUAUAUUGUGCCAGGUAGUCUCAUGUGCACUGGGUUCCACCAAGACUGAUGAUACACGUCANACUAUUAGUCUCUUACCAGAUAUAUCAUUUGAAAAUAUAUUCUCCCAUUCUCCCUGACUUGUUGAUGGUUUCCUUUGCAAAAACUUUUCAUUUUGGUGUAGUCCCAAUAGCUUAUUUCUGCUUUUAUUUUUCUUGCCUGAGAAGACAUAGCCAUAAGUAUGUUGCUAAGGCAAAUUUCCAAGAGAUUACUGCCUGUGUUUUCUUUUAGGGGUUUUAUAGUUUCAAAUUUCACAGUUAGGUCUUUAAUACAUUUUUACUUUAUUUUUGUGUAUGGUAUAAAAGUGGUCCAGUUUUCCCAAUGCCAUUUAUUGAAAAGACAGUCUUUUCCUCAUUGUAUAUUCUUGCCUCCUUUGUUGAAUAUUAAUUGACCAUAUAAGCAUGGUUUUAUUUCUGGUGUCUCCAUCCUGUUCUAUUAAUCUGUGUUUAUUCUGUGCCAGUACCAUACUGUUUUCAUUAAUAGCUUUAUAGUAUAUAUAGUAAUAGCUUUAUAGUAUAUAGUAUUGUAUAUAUAUAGUAUAUAUACUAUAGUAUAGCUUUAUAGAAAUCUGGGAUUGUGAUGCCUCCAGCUUUGUUCUUCUUAAGAUUGAUUUGGCUAUUUGAGAUAUUUUGUGGUUCCAUAGAAGUUUUAGGAUUAUUUGUUCUAGUUCUGUGGAAAAUGCUAUUGGUAUUUUGAUAGGGAUUGCAUUGAAAAUGUAAACUGCUGGGGCACCUGGGUGGCUCAGUCAGUGAAGCGUCUGACUUCAUCUCAGAUCAUGAUCUCAUGGUUUGCAUGUUUGAGCCCCACAUCAGGUUCUCUGCUAUCAGCACAGAGCCCACUCUGUCCCCCUCUCUCUCUGCCCCACCCCCUGCUUGCACCCUCUCUCUCAAACUAAAAAAAUGUAAAUUACUUUGGGUAAGGAUAGACAUUUUAAGGAUAUUAACUCUUCCAAUUCAUGAACAUGGUAUACCUUUCCAUUUGUUUGUGUCAUCUUCAAUUUCACUUCAGAGUAUAGGUCUUCCACCUCCUUGGUUAAAUUUAUUCCUAAAUACUUUAUUCUCUUUGGUGCAAUUGUAAAUAAGAUUAUUUAAAAAUUUCUCUUUCUGGUAGUUGUUAUUGUAUUGAAAUGGAACAGAUAUCUGUAUAUUAAUUUUGUGUCCUGCAACCUUACUGAAUUCAUUUCUUCGUUCUAGUAGUUUUUUGGUGCAGUCUUUAGGGUUUUGUGUAUAUAGUAACAGGUCAUAUGCAAAUAGUGUCAGUUUUACUUAUCAAUUUGGAUGCCUUUUCUUUUUCCUGUAUGACUGCUGUGGCUAGGCUUCCUGUACUAUGUUAUAUAAACGUGGCAAGAGUAAAUAUCCUGGUCUUUUCCUGAUUUUAGAAGAAAAGCUUUCAGUUUUUCACCACUGAGGAUGAUGUUACCUGUGGGUUUUCGAUAUAUGGCCUUUAUUAUGUUGAGGUGUAUUCCCUCUACGCUCAUUUUAGACGCAUUUUUAUCAUGAAUGGAUGUUGUAUUUUGUCAAAUGCGUUUUCUGCAUUUGAGAUCAUCAUGUGGUGUUCAUUCUUCCUUUUGAUAAUUUGUUACAUUGAUUUGUGAAUAUUGAAUCACGUGCAUCCCUGAAAUAAGUCCUACUUGAUUGUGCUAAAUAAUCCUUUUAAUAUAUUGUUGACUUCUGUUUGUUAAUAUUUUGUUGAGGGUUUUUACGUCUAUGUUCAUCAGGGAUAUUGGUCUAUAGCAGGUUUUGUUUUUUUUUUUUUUUUUGGUAGUGUCUUUGUCUGGUUUUGGUAUAAAGGUAAUGCUGGUGUUGUAGCAUGAAUUUGGAAGCUUUCUAUCCUCUAUUUUUGGAAUCAUUUAAGAAUAGGUAUUAACUGUGUUUUAAAUGUUAGAAUGCACCUGUGAAUUCAUCCAGUCCUGGACUUUUGUUUGUUGGGGGGGUUUUGAUUACUGAUUCAGUUUCAGAAGAUUGUAUGUUUCGAGGAAUUUGCCCAUUUCCUCUAGGUUGUUCCAUUUGUUGGGAUAUAAUUUUUUAAUAAAUUCUUUAAUAAUUUUUUAUAGCUGUGUUACCUGUCAUUUCUUUCAUUUUUUAAAAUAAAAAGAAAUAUUUAAAUUCAACUUAGUUAACAUACAGUGUAGGAUUUGGUUUCAGGAGUAGAACCCAGUGAUUCAUCACUUGCGUAUAACACCCAGUGCUCAUCCUAACAAGCACCCUCCUUAAUGCCCAUCACCCAUUUAGGCCAUUCCCCCACACAACACCCCACCAGCAACCCUUGUUUGUUCUGUGUAUUUAAGAGAUCAUGGUUUGUCUUCCUCUGUUUUUAUCUUAUUUUUCCUUCCCUUCCCCUAUGAUCAUCUGUUGUGUUUCUUAAAUUCCACAUGAGUGGAAAUGUAUCUUACUUGUUUCACUGAGCAUAAUACACUCUAGUUCCAACCACAUUGUUGCAAAUGGCAAGAUGUCAUUCUUUUUGACUGCCAAGUAGUAGUCCAUUGUGUAUAUAUAAAUACCACAUCGUCUUUAUCCUAUCAUCAGUCAGUGGACAUUUGGGCUCUUUCCAUUAUUUGGCUAUUGUUGAUACUGCCGCUAUAAACAUUGGGGUGCAUGUGCCUCUUCGAAGCAGCAUUGGUAUCCUUUGGAUAAAUACCUAGUAGUGCAAUUGCUAAGUUGUAGUGUAGUUCCAUUUCUUUAAUUUUUUGAGGAAACUCCAGAGUGGCUGCACCAGUUUGCAUUCCCUCCAACAGUGCAAACGGCUCCUUUGCCAACAUCUUUCUCAGCAUCCUUGCCAACAUCUGUUGUUUCCUGAGUUGUUAAUGUUAGCCAUUCUGACACAUGUGAGGUGGUAUCUUAUUGUGGUUUUGAUUUGUACUUCUCUCAUGAUGAGUGAUGUUGAGCAUCUUUUCAUGUGCCUGUUAGCCUCUGGUUGUCUUCGUUGGAAAAGUGUCUAUUCAUGUCUUCUGGCCAUUUCUUCGCCGGAUUAUUUGUUUUUUGUGUAUUGAAUUUAAUAAGUUCUUUAUAGAUUUUGGAUACUAGCCUUUUAUCAGGUAUUUGCAAAUAUCUUCUCCCAUUCUGUAGGUUGCCUUUUAGUUUUGCUGAUUUGUUUCGUUUGCUGGGCAUAAGUUUAUUAUCUUGAUGAGGUCCCAAUAGUUCAUUUCUGCUUUUAUUUCCCUUGCCUCUGGAGACAUGUGGAGUAAGAGGUUGCUGACUUUUUCUUCUCUAGGAUUUUGAUGGUUUCCUUUCUCACAGUUAAAUCUUACAACAUACAGAAAAUAAAUUCAAAACAAAGCAAGUGGUCCAGUAUCAUGUUGCUGUCCAGUUUUCCCAGUACCAUUCACUGAAGAGACUUUUUUCCAUUGGAUACUCGUUCCCACUUUGUCAAAGAUUAGUUGGCCAUACAUUUUUAGGUCCAUUUCUGAGUUUUCUAUUUUGUUCUGUUGAUCUAUUUUCUGUUUUUAUACAAGUACCAUACUGUUUUGAUGAUUAUAGCUUUGUAAUACAGCUUAAAGUCCAGAAUUGUGAUGCCUCCAGCUUUGGUUUUCUUUUUCAACAUUACUUUGGCUAUUCCAGGCCUUUAAUGGUUCCACACAAAUUUUAGGACUGUUUGUUCUAGCUCUGUGAAGAAUGCUUGUGUUAUUUUGAUAGGGAUUGCACUGAAUGUGUAGAUUGCUUUGGGUAGUACUGACAUUUUAACAAUAUUUGUUCUUCCAAUCCAUUUCUUUGUGUCUUCUUCAGUUUCUUUUAUAGGAUUUCUAUAGUUCUCAGCACACAGCUAUUUUACCUCUUUGGUGAAUUCAUGGAUCAGUUCUAGCAGUUUUUUGAUGGAGUCUUUUGGGUUUUCCGUGUAGAGUAUCAUGUCGCCUGUGAAGAGUGAACAUUUGACUUCUUUGCCAAUUUGCCUUUUAUUUCUUCCUGUGGUCUGACUGCUGAGGCUAGGAUUUCCAGUACUAUGUUGAAUAACAGUGGUGAGAGUGGACAUCCCCAUUGUUUUCCUGACCUUAGGGGAAGAGAUCUCAGUUUUUCCCCAUUGAAAUGAAAUUAGCUGUGGGCCUUUCAUAUAUGGCUUUUUAUGAUGUUGGGGCAUGUUCCUUCUAUUCCCUGUUACUUUUAUUCCUUCUAUUUUCUAUUCCCAAUUUCAUUUUAUUCUGAUCUUUUUAUUAACUGUGGGAUUUUUUUCCCCUCAUUCCUUCAGGAGUUUGGUUAGAUGGAGAUUUUCUCGUUUCUUGAGGUAGGCCUGUAGGUGAUUAAUCUUCUACCUUUACUAUAGGCUUGCUUUUACUAAUGAAAUUUCUUUUAUAUUUUUCUUACCCCCAGUUAUGGCCUUUUUAUUCCACUUAAAGAAUUCUGUAACAUUUUUUGUAAAUCUUUGCCCAUUUUUGAAAUGAUUCUCAGAGAGGAAAGAAAAUGCAAAUGUAAAGUCCUUUACAUAUUCUGGAUACAAGUGCUUUAGUGGAUAGGAUUUCCAAGAAUAUUUUCCCAUUUGGUGGGUUGUAGUUUUAUUUUCUGGAUGUUUAAAUAUAUAUAUAUAUAUAUAUAUAUAUAUAUAUAUAUAUAUUUACUUUCAGUGGAGUCUUUUUCCCCCCAUUGCUGGUGCUUUUGGUGUCAUGUAGAAGAAACCAUCGCCUAACCCAAGGUCAUGAGGUUCUUCCAAGAGUUUACAGUUUUCAUCAUUUAAAUGUAGGCCUGGUAUCCAUGUAAGUUAAUUUUUGUGUAUGGGGUGAAGGUAGGUCUAGCGCUAUUCUUUUGCAUGAAGAUAUCCAGUUGUCCCAGCACCAUGUUGGAAAUCCACCAGUUAAUUUUUUAAUCAUAGCACAUUAUUUUAUAACCAUGGUACUUAGCCUGAGUAUAUUUUUAUUUUUAUUUUUUUCACUUAAUCUUCCCUCAACGAAAGCCAGAACUUUUCAGUUUUAUUUACCACUGUAUUCACUGUGCCAAGGAGAGUGCCAGACAUCCUUAUACAGUCAAUAAACCUUUAAUAUCUGAGCUUUUACAUUAUGUGGAGUUGCUAAUAUGCAUUCUUUCCCAGGUGCGUCUUGGGUCUCCUACACUGUGACUCGUCACCGAUUGGCAUCUCAGAAGGCAGCUGUUAGAAAGUAAAAGGCUCAGGGAGCUUGGGUGGCUCAGUCAGUUAAGCAUCCAACUUCAGUUCAGGUCAUGAUCUUGAGGUUUGUGGGUUCAAGCCCCACAUUAGGCUCUGUGCUGACAAUUCAGAGACUGCCUCAGAUUCUGUGUCUCCCUUUCUCUCUCUCUGCCCCUCCCCUGCUUGUGCUCUGUCUCUCAAAAAUAAACAAACGUUAAAAAAUUAUUUUAAAACACAGAAGGUUCUGCAUUAUCAGAUGCUAAGAUUUCCUCAUAUAGGAGCCCACACUUAAUCUUCUGCUAACUAUACUCAUCUGUCACUUCUUAAAAACAGCAACAAAGAUGUGUAAAGCAUGUUGACUACAAUUAAUACUAAUGUAUUUUAUAUUUGCAAGUUGCUAAGAGUGAAUCUUAAAAGUUCUCAUCACAAGAAAAAUUUGUACUUUGUAAGGUGACAGAUGUUAACUGGACUUAUGAUCAUUUUGCAAUGUAUAAAAUAUGGAGUCAUUAUGUUAUACACCUGAAAAAUAUAAGAUUACAUGUGAAAUAUCAAUUAAAAAUAGAUUAAUUCUAAAAUAAGCAACAAAGAUGUUUUCCACCACAUUUAGAACAAAAAGAAUGAGUAUAGGAAUUCCAGGGGGAAAGUGGAAUAAAAAUAUACAUUAAUAGGUUCAUGUUCUUUUGAGGUUUUAAACCAGGGCCUGUAUUUUUGGGUUGUCUCAAGAAUGCCAGUAGCAUUUUUGUUGAGGAAUAUUAGUGCAGCAAAAAAGCACGUGAACCAAAUUUUGGGUCUUGGAUCUUUUGCAGUUAUGACUUGGCCAAUGUUGCCUUUUUUUUCUCAUCUGACAAACGGGACAAAAAUAUUGUCUUAGUCUGCUCCUGCUGCUAUAAUACCAUGAACGGUAUAAAUUAUAAAGAAUAGAAAUUUCUCAAAGUUCGGGAGGACGGCCACUCCACCAUCCAGGUGCCAGCAAAUUUGGUGUCUGGUGAGGACAUACUUUCUGAUUCACAGAUGAUGCCCUCUCUGUGGGUCCUCAAGGGGGAGAAAGGGCAAGGGAGCUCUCCAGUGUCUCUUUCAAAAAAGUACAAAUACCAUUCAUGAGAGCUCUACUGUCAUGACCUAAUUAGUUCCCAAAGGCCUCACCUCCUGAUGCCACCACGUUGGAUAUUAAGUUUUCAUGGUCCAGAGUGCUAACUAUGACACCAUGGAACCCCGUGUUGGAUAUCAGCUUUUCAGCUUAUGGAUUUGGGGGGGGGGGCACAAAAAUUCAAUCUAUAGCAGAUACCAUAUACUACAAAAUCCUACUGUCAAUAAGAUAUAAAUAUUUGCUACUUUCUCUAGUUAUUCUCAGAACUUAGAGCAGUGAAAAAGAGAAUUAGAAAUGAGAAUGAAAAGUCUUUUGCAAAUGGCUAUGGUUUUAUACAUUGAUGAUCAGUUCGUUUCUCUGCUGUACAAAGAAAGAAUUCUAUUGGUCAUAACCGUUUUCUAAAUUGCUCUUUAUUUUGUAUUUUCCCCUAUAGCCAAGCACCAGACAGAGACAUCUCUGAUAACUUGCUCAGCUUUUAACAGUGGAUUGAGUUCAAAUCUCUUUGUACAGGUAAUGGACUUCUAAAUUCUUUGCAUGUGUAAGCAUUAGUAUAGUGUAUUGGGAACAAACCUGAAUUUGAAUCCUGUAUUUUCUACUUACUAGCUGUGUUACCUCUAACAAGUUACUUUGUCAGUUAUAAGUGCCUUUUCAGUUGAAUGUGCGUGAAUCACAACAUUUAAGGAAACACUUAAAGAAUCAGAACCUGAAAAAGGAUGGGACCAGCAUAGCUCCAGGAAUCUGUUAGGAGCUACUGAACUUUGUUUUUUGAAGGCUCCAACACAGGCAUCGUUAGUUCUCUUUCUCUAGCUCCAUAUCAGUUAAGAUUCAAAGUCUGAGGCCCAGCUUAGAUCACUCAGUGUCCGCCCAAUGUCACUCUGACAAUCUCACUAAGACUUCUGCAAAUGACAGAGGACGAGGUGACUCUGUGGAGAGAAAACUGCUUGAUAGGGCUUGACCACUAAAAAAAGGGACUCAACCAACCCAAGGGGACCUGGCAGAAAGAGGACUGGAAUAAUACGUAGCUUGACUUUACUCCUUUCUAGCCCUUUGUGUCUCCCACUAGUGCCUCCAACCAGCCAAAGCCAACUGGCAGCUCAAUGGCAAGGGAGCCCAUUGAUACAAUUUGUGUGACGUUAGCCUCUUCGAUACGGUGGCGCCAUAGACAAGGGUGGAUGCUAGUAUAUAGAACAUCUCUAAAAUAUUCAUCGUAUUGAAUGCUUUCUUCCCUCUUAUUUAGAAAAAAGGCCCAUGACUUCUCUUAUCCCAGAUGGAAAAGUUACGCAUAUAAGCCCCGGUUCAGGAAAUUCCUAAUAAUUUGGAAGUGGCCAAAGACGUGAGUCGGCGGGUUUUCCUCUUCUUCCCCGGUGCAGCCUGCUCUCAGCAAGGCCAGACCCAGCUGUGGGGUACCCCCUCCUUGAGGAGCCUCAUGGAGUCUGUGGGUGGUAGUUCCUCCUCUGUGGGUGGUCCUGCGCUCCUGCCAAGGCUGAAGGAAUCCACUUCAAAAGAUGCCACCACCACCACUGAUAAAUGGAAUCAGAAGGGCACUGUUUCAGCUCAGACUAUCUCUAAGCACUUUCACCAGGCCGCGUUUGAGGGGUAUUCCUCUUCUCAGCGGCCUUGGGUAAUGAGGGGCGUGGGGGUCCCUACCAGGCAGCCAUUUCUCUGACAACUACCAACUUACCCUCAGUGUUAGAAAGGCAGGGGAGAGGAGGGGCUCAGCUGUGGCCUUUGUGUUCCCUCUUGUUUCCGUGUGCUAAAUAAGGUUGGAAUACUUCGCAGUUUACUCUACAAGGGUAAUCUCUUCAUGCAUUAAAAAUAGACUAAGUUAGACUUACACGUCUCUUCCAUACUUUUCAAAUGAAUUUGAUUGCUAUGGUUCCCUGGCUUAGGAAAAGAGACGAAAAUAGAUACUUGUAGGAAAGGAGUAUUUUGUUUUUAGAAAGGCAGCGUUGAAAUGGGGCUCCCAAACCUGGAUAUGGGGAUCAGCUGACCUUGGUAAAGUCGUUCUCCUCUGUGGGCCUUCAACAUUUGCAGUAAGAUUUGUGUAGGUAAGAAAGAUUGAAAUAUUCACUGUGACCCAAUAUACCUAGAAGAAUGUCCCCUAGUAGAUGUGCUGAUAAGGAAUUAUACCUCUAGAAGGUAUAAUUUACCCCUUUCUCCUGUUCCCCAACCCCUACCUCUGGUAGCCACCAAUCCGUUCUCCGUAUCUAUGAUUUACCUUUUGAAUAUCUUGACUUGUAGAUUCCAAGCGUUUAUGUUUCCAUUUCUCUUUAUUAUGAAAAUACUAAGACAUGAAAAGGCACAAAGAAAGAAGGAUGAGAUUGUUUUUAUAAAGCACAGUUUUGCUUUUGAUCUCUGUGCUGGAAAAGUAGUGUGCAGUAAUGUAAGGAAAACGUAGGAUUUUGGACUUAGGCUCAAAUCUCAAAGCUGCCACUGAGGUACUGGUACUGAGGCCACUCAGCUACAAAAAAUAAUAUUUACAGCCUAAGAUGUAAAGGUGCCUUUUAUUUAGAAGUACUUUGCACGUACUGGUCAUUCGUUAAUGGGGGCUCUCUAUGUUCACGUUUGUUUACAUUUGUCUAAAGCAUAAGAGACUCUUAAAAACUGAGAACAGGGGCGCCUGGGUGGCGCAGUCGGUUAAGCGUCCGACUUCAGCCAGGUCACGAUCUCGCGGUCCGUGAGUUCGAGCCCCGCAUCGGGCUCUGGGCUGACGGCUCAGAGCCUGGAGCCUGUUUCCGAUUCUGUGUCUCCCUCUCUCUCUGCCCCUCCCCCGUUCAUGCUCUGUCUCUCUCUGUCCCAAAAAUAAAUAAACGUUGAAAAAAAAAAUUUAAAAAAAAUUAAAAAAAAAAACAAAACAAAACUGAGAACAAACUGAGGGUUGAUGGGGGGUGAGAGGGAGGGGAGGUGAUGGACAUUGACGAGGGCAUCUUUUGGGAUGAGCACUGGGUGUUGUAUGGAAACCAAUUUGACAAUAAACUUCAUAUAUCUUUACAAAAGCCACUAAAAGAUCUUGGGGAGAACACUAGGCUGCACUCUCUUGAUCUUAGUUGACUAGUAACCCUGCACUGGCUCUUUCUUCUCUAGGACAAUAUUAAUAUUGAAUGUGCACCUUGAUGAAUGAUAGGAGCAUUGUGCAAACCACUUAGUUUCCACAAGGUGGUCUGAGAAAUGUAGUAGCCAUACCAGGAUCUUCUAAAAAGUCAAGUUAAAUGGAUUCCUGUCCCACUUUUCCCUUGGAAAUUUGUUUCCAUCAGGAGGUGGAACUAAGUCAGCAAGGGGUUUCUAAGCCAACUUUGUGACAAGAUUCCCUUCUGUUAGCGGACAGCAUAGAGCACUGGUACCAGUGUAGACUCUAGAUCCAGGUAGUCCAAGUUCAACAUUUGACUUUCUAUCUCCUGACUUCAGACAACUGAAGUCUUCCUCAGUAUCUUGACUUGAAAGGAAGGUCAAUAAUUGUACCAAAUUUAAAGGGUUGCUCGGCCAAUUCUAUGCAUCAAUGUGUUUAAAGUACCUAGAACGGUACUUAACCACAUAGUAAAUGAUACACAAAUGUUAAUAAGAGAGGUGGUCAGGUGGUAAAAUCUGAUUCAGGAAAUUCCUAACAAUUUGGAAGUGGCCAAAGGCAUGAGUCAGUUUUUUUCUCCUCUGUAUUUUUAAUAUAGAAACUUCAUUAUUCAUGGGCUUAGCUGUCAACAUCCUUACUAUUAAUUAUUAUUAACCUAGAUGUCACUGGGAGUCUCUCUGCCCAUAGAGAUAUUAGUGGCUUUGGCUUAAUGCCCUAGGCUUCAAUGAUCAGGAUAAAUGUAGAGUCCUCUCCUUGACUUUGAAUAUGUCUGACAUGGUCAUAGGGACUGAAAAUUAUGGCUAAAGUGUAUUUCUCUGUCAUGUCAAAGGGAAUCUGAAGGUAAAUGUCCCCACGCAAGAUUGUGACUAUCCUGUAAAAGCAAGAACCUGGAUUCCUUCUGUCAUUCAGAUCUACCUCAUCACUUCAUCCUCCUACACAGCUGUUGCUGGAACUCCAGCCAUCACAUCCCAGUUGCAGGCCAGAAGGAAAUUUUUUAAAAUGUGAAGAAAAAAAGUGACAUUGACACUCAUUUAUUCUAUUUUUAAGCAAUCUCUACACCCAACGUGGGACUCAAACUUACAACCCCAAGGUCAAGAGUGGCAUGCUCUACCGACUGAACCAACCAGGGCCCCCAUAUUGACUCUUUUUAAAGGAUCCUUGACAGAAAUUCUAGAAAAUAAUUAUGCCUUUGUCUCUAUGGCUAGAAUGUAAUCACUUGGCCUUACCUACCUACCAGAGAGGAUCAACAAUAGCCCUUUAAAUGAGUACACGAUCAAAGGAUAGACAGGAGUAGGUAAAAUGACCCUCUUUGCCAUAUGGUUCCCUGUCCCUGUCCCCAAACAUGCUCAGAUCCAUGUGCAGACCUAGGUAUAUACUCUGCCACUCACCAGCUUUAAGAAAUCUAUCCCAUCAUAUUUUCACAGUCUUUUCGAAAAUCAUCGUGGAGUUAGAGGUGUAGGGAUCACAGGUGAGUUACUUGGCUAUUUAAGCUUAUAUCAGUGUCCCCAGAAACUUAUUCUAAGACUCCUUUCUGUCCAUCCAAAAACUGUUUUCGUGAAGCCAGAGCUCCAAACCUGUGACUUUUCCUGAAGCACACAGACCCCUGGAACAUAUAGUUUAGCUCCUGCCCCGUUUCCCCCUCAGCUCUUUGAGGGACUCAAGUGAUCAGCCAGGUAGUAAGCUGAGGAAUGAUAAUAAGGAUAGAAACCAUCUGCCCAGUGCCCCAAGUACCAUUGUCUCUGUUACAUAACUGUAAUCUCGAUAACUUAUUGUGGAGACUGUCGUCAUCUCAUUACCACCACUGAGGGAAUUCAGGCUUAAGAGAUGUUAGUAAACCCCACAAUUUUAUUUAAACAGUGCUUAAUUUUGGGUGAGUUAUGUAUCACUCAUGUAUGUGUUCAUUUAAUAUUUCUGCUAUGUUUUCACGGAGGCUCAAGGAGACAACAGUGAUUAAGUUGGUAUUAUAAUCCUGGUCAAAUAAGCUCCAUGUUUUAUAUGAUUUUCCAUCUAAUAUUCGUCUCUAGUCUCGUCUUCUCCAGGGCACACAAACUCACUGCCUUCAACUUUCUGAAACCACAAUAGCUUCAAGAUCCCUUAUCAUAAAAGUCUCCUCUCAACACAUUUUGGUUUGUCAAUGCCAUUCUUUCUUUUUUUUUUUUUUUAAGUUUUGAGAUACAGCAUGAGUAGAGGAGAGGCAGAGAGAGGGAGACAGAGAAUCUCAAGCAGGCUCCUCGCUGUCAGCACAGAGCCUGAUGCGGGGUGCAAACUCACGAAACCAUGAGAUCAUGACCUGAGCCGAAACCAAGAGUCAGACACUUAACUGACUGAGCCACCCUGGUGCCCCACCAACGCCAUUCUCGAAAUAAAACACUCAGACUUUAAUUCCUAGUUGUGGGAACUUCAGCAAAAAUAAAACCAAAAUAAGCCCUAAUUCAGGACACCCCUACCCCCAACAUGGGGCUCCAACUCACGACACUGAUAUCAAGAGGCAUGUGCUUUACUGAAUAAGCCAGCCAGGUGUCCCUAAUUCAUGAUGCUAUUAAAUAUAGACAAAGAAGAAAACUAAUUUUUAGAAAAAAAUUGUGUUACCAUUGUGUUACUAGCACCAAGUGCUAAGUUGAGUAUCGAGUUUUUGAAAGACCUUGGGUCGGACAGUUAAGUAAUAUUUAGUGGAAUGUUAGAAUGUCUAUAGAGAUUGGAAAGGUCAUGUGGCAUUGAGAUCAGAGUUGCCUUUACUGCUCACAUGAACCUCUUAAUAAUGACUAUUAUUUAUGGAGCAGUUUCCAAGUAUCAGCUACUGUGCAAGGUAUAGGACUGGAGAUAUCUUUUUAUUCUAUUUAGUAACUAUUAUUUCUAUAAAACACAAAGGGCAUCUCAGGUUCAGAAGGUCAAAUAGCCUAAUUAGAAACUCUCAGAUAGUAAAGUAGCAACAACAAGAAUCAAAUCCAUGGUUGUGCUGACGAAACCCAAAGCAAAUUACUGAAUUUUGGACCAUUUUCAUUUCUGCCCAAGGCCCCAGUUCCUCAUCUGUAAAAUCAGCAGUUUGAAUCACAGCGUCUAUAUAAGUGAUGGUGUGCUGGAGUGGACUGUGAGAGCUGAUGGUUUUAUUUUCCACCAAAAGGCUGCUAGAACUGAUACAUGAAUUCAGCAAAGUCGCAGGAUACAAAAUUAACGUACAGAAAUCAGUUGCAUUCUUAUAUACUAAUAAUGACGCAACAGAAAGACAAAGAAACUGAUCCCAUUCACAACUGCACCAAGAAUCAUAAAGUACCUAGGAAUAAACCUAACCAAAGAUGUAAAAUAUUUGUAUGCUGAAAACUAUAGAAAGCUUAUGAAG